AGAAAAGAACUUCUCACUUCUUUCAUUUCACAAGAGAAAAAAAAACAAAAUCCUCAAGAAGUUUUCGAUAUAAUCUUAAAACUCUCAGACGAAGAAGAAGAUGGAUGUUAGGAUGAUGGGUUAUGGAAAUCCACUGAUUUCAACACUUCAACAAAUUCUCAAUUCAUCAGAAGAAGCAGAGAAAUCAUACAAUGCACCUACUCGUACCUAUGUUCAAGAUGCAAAAGCAAUGGCAGCGACACCAGCAGAUGUGAAAGAAUAUCCAAAUUCAUAUCACUUUGUUGUCGAUAUGCCUGGUUUAAAGUCUGGUGAUAUUAAGGUUCAAGUUGAAGAAGACAAUGUGCUUGUUAUAAGUGGUGAAAGAAAGAGGGAAGAUGAGAAAGAAGGUGCUAAGUAUUUGAGAAUGGAAAGGAGGGUUGGAAAGUUUAUGAGGAAGUUUGCUUUGCCAGAGAAUGCUAAUAUUGAUAAGAUUUCUGCUGUUUGUCAAGAUGGUGUUCUUCAUGUUACUGUUGAGAAAAUUCCUCCUCCUGAGCCUAAGAAGCCUAAGACUAUUGAAGUUAAAAUUGCUUAGAUUGGGUAUUAGGAUUGGAAUUUUUAUGUUUUGGCCAGUGACCUUGAUCAUGAUGUUGUUAUUAUUAUUGAGGUCUUUGGGUUAAUGAAUCAGUGUGUAGUUUUGAAUUUUGAUUAAUGUAAUGAAUUUUAGUUUAGUUUCAAUGCAAUUCUAUUUUAUAUUUCUUGCAACACCUCUGCCAUGAUAUGUUUCUAUCUAAACAUUACAUCUCUAUCGUCGCAUAAAUAACAAAACAACUUCAAUCAAAAAACACAAGAAUGAAUGUAUUUGUGAUAUGUUUACUCUCAACUGGUUGCCUAGAUGAACAAACCUUUCACCCUUGUAUUUUUCUAUAAGCCUCUGACUAGGGAACACCACUUUACCAGUUUAUUUUUCUGUAAACACUUUACCAGUCUUUUUUUCUGUGAAGUUUUCAAUAAACAUGGCUGAAAGGAAGAUAAAAUUCACGCAGCUCCAGCGAACGUACCACUUCAGGUUGAAGAUUUUGUCAGGAAGUGUAAACACUCAAGAGAUUUCUGCUGUCAGAGACCAUUUGUUGCUGCACCAUUUUUAUUUUUAUAAUUUUGGGGUUGGGCUAGACCCCUACCUGUACAUUAGAAUCGAAAAAAUUGUAAAGCUGUGAGGGGGACUAGGCCUUACCUCACUACAAGUAGGGGGAUGUUUCUAACAAGUGCCUAACCCCUAACAGGCAUAAUAAAACAAAAACAUACAAAAACCGAAAGCCACUUUACUUUCAACUGAUCACCUAGUUGAACAAAUCUCUCACCCUUCUAUAAUAAGCCCCUGACUAGGGAAAGCCACUUUACCAGUCUAUUUUUCUCUAGGUUUUCAAUAAACAUGGUUGUAGGGAAGAUGAAAUUCACGCAACUCAUCUUCAGGUUGAAGAUGAAGUUGUCGGGAAGGGGACUAGGCAAGUAGGAAGAUACUGUCAAGUUGAAAAUUAUAUGACGAAGUUUGCUUUGCCAGAGCAUGCCAACACUCGAGAGAUUUUCUGCUGUCGGAGACCAUUUGUUUUACAGCACCUGUGAAGAACUUCCAGGCUUCGAGAAGGAGCAGUGAAAACAAAAAUAACUUCCCAAAAUGUUAAAAGGCCUAUGGAAGGUCAUCUAACCACGCCAGAAUGUUUUCUUCAAACCCGAUGACUCCCGAUAGCCCUGGAUUUAAAGACAUACUACUAACAAGCAAGGUACGCCGAAGAAAUUUAAGGGAGGUGCCCAAGAGAUGCGUGAGCUUCCACACUCACUCCAAUGGUUUUGUCCGAGGGAAAAGACAAAUGGCAAUGGAAGAGGUGUCAAAACAAGGUGUUCUAGGUUAAAUCUAUGUAUGAGAUACUUUUGGGCAAGAUAGGGAGUACUCACCACACUUUGAGGAUUUCCCUUACAAAGUGACUUGGUAGGCGAGCAUAACUCUUAUGGGAACGCAUCCUAAUUAAUUUGAAUGCUCGAUGUAUGAGUGUAUGACCACUUAUAUAUCCUGUGCUCUUUGCAAUGAGAGUGUGGACUGUGGAAGUGUGGAGUCAAUUAAUCACCUCUUCUUCUUCUGCCCAAAAUCUCUUAUGGUUUGGAAUGGUGUUGUGGGCCACCUUGCGGGAAUGAAUGGUUGCCUGGCAAACUUGGGACCAAAGAACUUUCUCCUUCAGUGGCCAAGCUUGCUAGCCCAUUCUUCCCUUCACUGCUCUCUGGGUCAUAUGGAAUGUCAGAAAUGAGAUUAUAUAUGAAGGAGCAGUUCUGGACAUUGGACAGGUGAUAAAAAGGAUGAAAAUGUACAUUGUGGGCUUGGCUCAACAUUUUAAGCAAGGCUGCAGAUGUGUAGAAGGGGCAUCAGUUUUGUUUGACAGGUGAUCAAACCGCAGAGCUUGUAUAGGAGCUGUAGAAGUCUAACACUAAUGGGAAGAACUCUGAGGAACACUGGUGUGUAUGUUGGGAUAGUGGUGUGCGGAUUCUGAAACACUGCAGUAGCUGGUGCCAGUCUCCCUUUGACAGUCUUGAUGUUGCUGAGCAUCCUGGGAGUACAAUCUGAGUAUCUGACCGCACCCUUAUUAUGGCAGCUAACGCAACUGCCUAGCGUGCCGCAAAGUAGCAAAGAUCUUGCUCAGUCCAAUUAAGACGCAAGUGGUUCACCGAAUCAGAGAAAACAAAACUAAUAAGUUUUUCACUGGAAAAUUGGUCUUAUAUUAUACUAAAAGUGAGAUCCCUGUUUUGCAAGAAUUGAAUAUCCCCACAAAUUAAAAUUGAAACCUGAAUUGUUUCUCAUAGAAGAUAAGUGCAAGUUCCAUGACAAAGUCAACAAAUUCCAUUAUUAUAUUAUUGCAUUUGGAUAUUUCAUUAGUUUUUCAAGAUAAGUGCAAGAUAAGUGUUCCAUGCCAAUUUCCACCGACUCAACCACCAACCAAGAGUAUGUUUCAUUAGUUUUUCACCACCGGCCAAAGUAAUCUCAUUCGAGUUCUCCAUUUGUGUUGUGACCAAUGAACCUCCAUUUGACCUACCGAGCAAUAGUUUCCCACAUCGGCCAACUUGGAUACUUCGUGGGAAAUUGACCAACCACCUACGCCGUUCUCAUUUGCUUUUUUACAAGUUACAACACUGAGAUCUGAUCAAGAAGAAUUAGCAGCAAACCCGUUCAAAUCCAUCAACUAUUCUGUCUUUUUCUUCAACUAUUACUGUGUUUUCUUUGUUAACAGAAGCUAAUUAAUGGCUGAAGCCCUUGUUUCUGCUGUCUUGGAGCACUUGGUGACACCUGCUAUCGAACAAGUUACAGAAGAGGUGAGGUUGGUGCGGAGUGUUGGAAAUGAAAUCAAAAGUCUUGUUGAAGAACUAGGCAAAAUUAAGUCCCUACUUGAAGAUGCAGAAAAGAAACAAAUACAUGACAAGUCAGUGAAAGCUUGGUUUGAAGAGCUGAAGGGCAUAGCAUACGAUGUUGAUGAUGUAUUGGACGAGUGGCACACUAGGAUUCUCCAGCAAAUUGCUACAAGUGAUGAUAGCUCCACUAGCAAGCAGAACAAGAACAAGGUGUUUGCUUGCUUUUCUUCUCCAUUCAAUCGCUCUCAGCCUGUUCUUGUACGCUAUCGCAUUGCUCAUAGGAUUAAAGAUUUGCGACAACAACUAGAUACAAAUGCUAAGAUCAUCCCUGGGUUGCACCUUAUUACAAGUCAAGCUAGUCACCACCAUGAAGACCUUCCUUCUCGACAAAUCAUUAGCUCUUUUGUUGAUCCAUCGAAGAUACACGGUCGUGAUCAUGAAAAAGCAGAAAUAAUGAGUUGGCUUCGGAGUCAACAAGAGGCUAAAGUUUCUGUCAUGUCAGUUGUUGGAACGCCUGGAUUUGGCAAAACAGCUCUUGUUCAACUCGUGUUCCACCAAGAGAAUGAUAAGAACACCUUUGAUCCGACGAUGUGGGUUUGUGUUUCUGAACCUGUUGAUCUACAAAGGCUCGCGAAAGAAAUCAUUGAAUCAGCUACUGGAAAAAAGCCUGAAGUUGAUGGUUUGGAGGCUUUGCUUCGUCAUUUGAGCGACACUGUAAAAGGAAAGAUGUUUAUGCUUAUUUUAGAUGAUGUUUGGCCGAAAUAUUUAGAGCAUUGGUGGGAACAAUUGAAAAGUUCUCUAGACAGUGGCGCCCAAGGCAGCAAAAUCAUCAUUACAACCCGCUAUCAGGAAGUUGCCGAUGUCGUUGAGUCAAGUUGUAUAAUUCUUCUUCGGGAAUUGCAGGAUGAAGAUUGUUGGUCACUAUUUAAACGAAUAGCUUUUUCGAGAAGAUCAGCAAAUAACCAUCACAAUUUGGAAGGAAUUGGAGAGGAAAUUGUCAAGAAAUGCAAAGGAGUUCCCCUAGCUAUCAAGACAAUUGCCGGUCUUAUGCAAUACAAACAAACAAUACAUGAAUGGGAGAGUGUACGAGACAGUGAUGUUUGGGAACAUGUUGGUAAAAACUUGUCACCCAGUCUUCUUCUCAGUUAUCAUGCGUUUCCAUCGCAUUUAAAGCAAUGUUUUAUGUAUUGUGCUGUCAUUCCAAAAGACACGGUGAUGGAAAAAGAUAUGUUGGUCAAGCUAUGGAUGGCACAAGGUUUCCUUGGCUCUAAUGGAGGUAAAGAGCUAGAGACUGUAGGUGGAGCGUAUUUUGAUGAGUUGGCAAUGCGGUCGUUUUUCCAAGAUUUUGAGAAAGAUGGUGAUGGAAGUGUUGUUAGUUGCAAGAUACAUGACCUUGUGCACGAUUUUGCACAAUCCCUCACGAUAACAGAAUGUUGUGUUAUUCAGAUGAACGACAGAGAAACAUGUAAUAACAAAGUCCGUCAUUUAACCGCUCCUGAUACAAAAAAUCCCAACAUCUCAAACGUAAAGAAGAAUUUGCGGACACUGAUAACACAUUCUUUGUCAGAUUCAACUGACAUUUCCAAGUUGUCCCGUCAAUUGACAUGUCUUAGGACAUUGGAUUUGAGUAAUUCCAAGCUUGAAGAGCUGCCAAAGGAGGUGGAAUUGUUAUUACACUUACGUUAUCUUGACCUGUCGAGGACAGAGUUGACAGAGUUGCCGGAAUCAUUGUGUAAGUUAUACAACUUGCAGACCUUGAAACUUAACUGGUGUCGUGAUCUUUGUAAAUUGCCCAACGGAAUUGGAGAACUAUCAAUCUGAGGCAUUUUGAAAUGGAAAUGACUAGUGAGCUGAAGUACUUUCCCAAGGGAAUUGAAAGAUUGAAUUGCCUUCGAACCUUGAGUAAGUUUUGUUGUGAGUGGUGUAACUGGAGGGUGCAGAAUUGGAGAACUAGGCAACCUUAUUCAUCUUGGAGGAGAUUUAGAAAUAAGAGGGUUAUGGAAAGUAGAAAACAUGAUCGAAGCUAAACAGGCAGGAUUGCAGGAAAAGAAGAACCUUGGUUCGUUGUUGUUGGACUUCGAAGGAGGAGGAGGAGGAGGAGGAGAAUUUAGAAGAAAAAUGGAAGGUGUACUGAAAGGUCUCCAACCACACAACAACUUGAAAAAAUUGUACAUAUAUAAGUACCCAGGGUUGACGAUCAACCUUGAUUGGUUGUUGUGUCUAGAUCUCCAUCAUCUCACUUUUUCUUAUUUCCCUAAUAUAACAUCAUUACCAGCUGAUCUAGGUAAAUUACAGUUCCUUAAAUCCCUAACUGUUGAAUAUGUAGAUGAGAUGAAAGAUGUGAGUUCCCAACUUUUGAAAAUUUCUGAUAAUGGAGACUCGUCAUUGGAGUUAUUUCCAAAGUUGCAGUUUCUAAAAUUGAGUAAUUUGCCAAAGUGGGAGGAGGAGGAGGAAGGGAAUGAGAAAAUUGAUAAAACUCACACUCCUACUACUUCCAUCAUGCCCUGUCUCCUUGAGUUGGAGAUUCAUCAUUGUCGAAAGUUGAAGGUGUUGCCGCACUACAUGAUGUUUUCUCAAACACUCAAGGAAUUGAGUGUAACCGACUGUCCAGGGCUAAGUGGGAUGCAACCUUGCCUUCCUCCGCUGGUUGAGGAACUGACUUUAUGGGGCGAUGUAGGUGUUCUUUCAAGUUCAUUAAUGCCCAUCAUCCAUACCAACAACAACAAUAGCUAUCCUAAUCUCAAGUCUGUUACCAUUGGUAGCUCAAAAAUUUCCUCACUCCCCGAAGGAUUAAACCAAUUCACAUCACUUCAAAAAUUGCAUCUUUCUUACUGCCGAUUGCUCGAUUUCAAGCCCGAGGAAGAGUGCAGUCACUUGCACACUCUUCCCACAUUAAUCAUCACCAUCGACAGUUGCCCUCUUCUGAAAGAGCGUAGCAGCAGAGACGACUGGGCCAACUUAUCCAACUUUCCCAAAAUCAUCUUUGAGUGAGAUUAUUACUAAUGAAGGAUCGGAGCACUCAAAUAAACCAAGGUAACAACCCUCUCAACAUAUAUUUUUCUUCUUUUUUUUUUUUGCAUGUUGUAUUAAGUUUAGUCCAACUACACAUAAUUCACUUUCAAUUUGCAAGGAAGAUUCAUUUCACCAAUAUUAUCUUUAUCUCAAGUCCUGAUGUGCUCUACAUUAAUAAUUUGAUUUGCAUUAUUGCAUAUGCAACACUCAGUCUUUUCUCCAAUAUACCAUAAUUAAUCACAUCAUGUUGUUUAUUUGAUUGUACUUUCAUUUGAUCAAUUAUUUGAUUGUGGAACUGGGAUGUUUUUUCUAAAGAGCGCAAACGUAAAUUAUUUUAGGGAUAUUAGGCAUUUGUACUGCCGCUUAAUCUUCUCUCUUUGUUAGUAUGUUACUAAUUACUAUCACCCUGUGUCGUUUGUACACAAUGAGGUGAUUUUACCUAGUUGGUAAUAUAAACCUCACAUUUCUUGUUUCUUCCCUUGAUGAUCUGACCGAAAGUUAUAAAUUGUGACACCAUCAUGCUUUUUGGUGAAUAUGUUCUUCAAAAGACAUAAUCGAAUAACAUUUGGAUCGAUUACCGAUAGUUAAAGUAAGCCUUCAUAUAGUCAUAUCGGUUCUAAUAUUUGUGCUUAUCAUGUUCUGUCUGAUUUUUUUUUACAGAAUGGAACCAGAAAUCAUUGUAAUCAUUGUUUUUGUUUGUCUUUCAAAUGCUUCAUUUCAACAACUGCAGACAUAGAUUCACUCUGUGAGUUGGACAAGCUUUUAGUGCUCGACUCCUGGUUCCUAGCUUUCCAGAGUGACCAAACUAAUAACACGAGGAUACCCGUUUUUUGGCAUGCUGCAAUUAUCUAGUGCAUAGUUGAAUGUUUAAUUGAGUUGUUGUAAUUUCCCUGAUCCAUCAUUGGAGUAAAAAUACUUAUCAUGCUCAUUUUGUGAAAAUACAUCUUUCUUAUGGUAAAUUAGGGGUUUGGCAGACUCCGACCUGCAUUACUCAUUAAGUGUUUCCUCGAAGCCAAUUGUAAUAUUUGCGAGUAAAGUAUUAUGCUGAAGGAGAUUGAUGAUGGAAUGUCAGAAAUGAGAUUAUAUAUGAAGGAGCAGUUCUGGACAUUGGACAGGUGAUAAAAAGGAUGAAAAUGUACAUUGUGGGCUUGGCUCAACAUUUUAAGCAAGGCUGCAGAUGUGAAGAAGGGCAUCAGUUUUGUUUGACAGGUGGUCAAACCGCAGAGCUUGUAUAGGAGCUGUAGAAGUCUAACACUAAUGGGAAGAACUCUGAGGAACACUGGUGUGUAUGUUGGGAUAGUGGUGUGCGGAUUCUGAAACACUGCAGUAGCUGGUGCCAGUCUCCCUUUGACAGUCUUGAUGUUGCUGAGCAUCCCUGACUAGAGAUGUUCUGGUUGCGAUGUGCUGUAGACUGUAUUAUGUAGUACUGCUCUCUGUAUUGUUUAGUGGGCUAUUUUUCAUUCCUUUAUCUCUGUGGAUCCACCUGGAUUCACUGUUUACCAAAAAUAUCCAAAAUAACAUAGGGCCGUUACCGUGGUCCAUUUUACAGUUCUAAUUUCGAAACAAAGAACAUGCGAGAAGCUUCCAUAUUUCUCUAGCACACCACUAAAUCAGUUUUACUACAGUUCUAAUUUCAGAAUGAAGAACAUACUAGAAACUUCCAUCUACAAACCAAUCAACCCAAUCAAUUUCCAGAAACUUCUACAUUCUUCAAUCUCCAUCUAUAUAAACAACCCCUUAAUUCCUCUUACCAUCACAAAAAAAAAAAAAAAAAAAAAUUCAAAAUCAAGCAAUCAAGAUCUCAAGAAGUUUUCGAUAUAAUCUCAAAACAAUCAGAUAAGGAAGAAGAUGGAUGUUAGGAUGAUGGGUUAUGGAAAUCCACUGAUUUCAACACUUCAGCAAAUUCUCAAUUCAUCAGAAGAAGCAGAGAAGUCCUCCAAUGCACCAACACGUACUUAUGUUCAAGAUGCAAAAGCAAUGGCAGCAACACCAGCAGAUGUCAAAGAAUAUCCAAAUUCAUAUCACUUUGUUGUCGAUAUGCCUGGUUUGAAGUCUGGUGAUAUUAAGGUUCAAGUUGAAGAAGACAAUGUGCUUGUUGUAAGUGGAGAGAGGAAAAGGGAUGAAGAGAAAGAAGGUGUUAAGUAUCUGAGGAUGGAAAGGAGGGUUGGGAAGUUUAUGAGGAAGUUUGCUUUGCCAGAGAAUGCUGAUAUUGAAAAGAUUUCUGCUGUUUGUCAAGAUGGUGUUCUUCAUGUCACUGUCGAGAAAAUUCCUCCUCCUGAGCCUAAAAAGCCUAGGACUAUUGAAGUUAAAAUUGCUUAGAUUUAGAGGAGUGGGUGUUAGAGAUUGGAAUUGAUGUGUGGGUGAUUUGGGUUGUUGGGUGUGUUUUUCCCCUUUGUUUUAUGCUUUUUAUUUUGAACUUUGCUUGGGUUUUGGCUAGUGACCUUGAGUAUCAUGUUAAUGUAAUAAAGUCUUUAAUGAAUUUUCUUUUGUUUCAAGUCAAUUGUAUUUGCAUUUCUGCUACUUCUUUGAUCAUAUUUCCUGCAACACAUCUUCCAAGAUAUACAUACUAUAUCUCGAUUACUCGUGAUCGAUAUAAAAUGGAAAUCUUGAUCCUAAACAUCAAUAACUAUGACAUAAAUAAAACCCAAAUAAAAUGUGCAGAGUACAAGAAGGUUAAAGCAUUUUUAAACUAUGGUUGAUAUUUGUGGACUGGGAAAGUAAAACUGUGAGCUUGCUUUCAACUGGUCUGUAACGCAAGACUGAGAAAAACUGUUGUCUUGGCUGUAAGGAAAAUGGGACUAACACAACUCCAGCAGAUGUAGCUCUUCAGGUUGAAGAUGAAGUUUGCAGAAAGAGGAAGGCACUGUCAAGUUGAGAAUUUUAGUGCACCUGAGCCUAAGAAGCCAGGAGCAAUUAAAACAAAAAAUAAUGUGUGAUGCAUUAGUCUAUAUGUUAUCCCUUUCCUUUUGCUUGUUUCUUAUUCAAUUGUCUCAGUCUGGGCAAAUCAAAGGAUUAACCCCUUCCCACCUUCUCAAGGAAUAAAAGGAAAAAAUUAAGAAGAUAUCAGCAGGCUUUGGCUUAAGAUAACACAGAAAUAUUUGCAAGUUGUAACAGAGGCAAGAAACACAGGUUAAUGAACGGGUUUUUUUUCCUUCUGUAGAAGUGUACAUUUGGAUAAAAAAUAAACAAGCAGUCGAUGACAUGAACAAAACUUAAAGCUACAACUACUCUGCACCGGCACCUAUGCUUUAAAACCAAAUUGAAUGUACAAAAGAACAGUGCAAGCUGAAGUGUACCUUUUUAUUGCAUGAAUGGCAGAAUGGACAAUAUUGCCUGUAUUUUUAACUACAAAGGAGCCCCAAACAUAAGCAAUUCACCGGAAAAUGUUGUCUAAAAUAAAGUAGGUCAGCCCGGCUUUUUCAAGGAAUAACAUCAUAUCACAUGCAGCAAGGGUUCCUGUGCUGUGCAAGGUUUCUGUUCACAAGGUGUGAUAUACAUGGGCGUUUCAGCGCAACCUAAUAGUUUCAUUGGGAAAAAUGACAUUAGGAUUCCGUAUAUGUGGAUUCAACGCAGCCAACUCUUUCCAUUUUGCUCCUGUACCAUGAACACGAGAUGAGAUGCUCCACAAGGUCUCCCCAGGCUGCACAGUUGUUGUAGUUGUCGUCUGGGAUGAUGAUUUUGCAACCGUCUUUGACUUCAUUAAUGGGUGCUUGUUGCUUUUACCCAUACCAGUGGCAAGCAACCAGCGGGACCCAGACUGUUGCUGCUUCGCAGUACCCCAAAGCUUCUUUUUUCCAGGAUCUGACUUCAGACCAGCAACAUGGACUUCAGUGAUUUUGAAUUGAGCAAUGCUUUCUUCUUCUUUCUUUUCUUCAACAAUAUCGGUUUUUUUCUCAUCCGCUGUACUGAGUUCAGUUUCAUCAUCUUCUUCAUCCUUCCUUCUUUCGAAAACACUGCUGUAUAUUUUUGGUUUUGGAGGAACGAAAACCCUCUCUACCUGAAUCAAAGCAAGCAUUGGAGUCCCAACUGGCUCAUAAUUACGAAGGGGAUUUCUAAGUUGCACCAUUAAUGCUACUGUAAAGUUGUUCCCCAGCAAACCACACCUUCUAGAGCCUUUCCCCUUCCUUUUCCCUCCCUCCCACCCUCCACUUAUCAAAUCCGUACAGGUAGCAUGGUGAGCUGCAAGGAUCUUGGAAGUCCGCUCACUGUUUUGAUCUUCUUCAUCGACUAUUCCAGCAUCUAGUCUCAUCCACUCAUCCAGAGUUAUUGACAGUCCCAUUAACCCAUCAACAUCAUCCCCAUUAUCUUUGAUAUCUAACAGCUGCAAUCCUCCAGCUCCCUCCAUACCAAGCGACCCACUCAUGUUGGUUCUCUUUCCUUGAAGUGCUGAUACCUCUCCAAAUGCUUGGGGGCUAAUGUUUGAAGGUGCAUCUUCGUCAGACAUGCCAGAUUGUAUUCUCAAACCUUCCAUGGACAGGGCUUCAAUCUUAUCCAUUGCCAAUGGGGCAAGGUCUUCCACAGAUACAUAUUCGGAAUCAGAAUCCCUACUUAAUGAACUUGAAUUCAGGUGAGCAGACCUAUUCCUGGACGAACUGCCUUUUCUUCUUUUUCUGUCACUGCGUGAAUUCCCAACCUCUGCUUCAUGCUGCAUUAAGACCUCCCUGUUCAUGUAAACGAAAUGAUUUAACAAAAACUUUGUGAAAUUUGAAUAAUAUUUCACAGCGAAAAAGCUACAAUUAUGCAAUAAUUAAGAUAGGGUAGCCUAAGUGUAACCUACAAACCUCUCAGGUGCCUCGAGACUAGGCGUAGCUUCCCAUGCUACCUGCUGCAUCGUCUUCCCAGUAAUAUCUUCUAGUGGCAUUAACUUGUUAGCUUGCAUCGAGAGCUUUUCAAUUCCAACUGACGCCAAACCCUGUAAUAUCUCCAUGAUACCAGAUCCCAUUUCUGCAGGAACCACAACCGGACUAGAAACCUGCAUGACCAAGUUCUCACUGUGUUUGGCAUUUCUGAAAAGUGAGGGACUCAUGGAUCGCAAGAAUCCUCCAUCUUUUGUCUGAACAAAGGGACCCAAACCUUCAGCAAGAGGAGGCAAUACAAGUGGCUUUUCAGGAGGAAGAUGAAUUGGACUCCCAAAUCCACCUGCACCAUUAGGAGGAGAAUUCUGAAAGGCCUUCUCAUUCAAACCCCACUCCCGCAUUAAAGCUUCUGUCUCCAAGUCUUCAAGCAUUUUAGCUCUUGCUUUGCUACUCAUCAUCUCCGCUGCUCUCUGGUGUUCUGCUUCAGCAACGUGAACAAUUGAUGAAAGCUCAAAAUCUUCAAAAUGUUCUGACCCAGAGCCAUUCGGAACAUUAUAACCAUAUUCAACCAUCUCCUCCCUGCCAAGAUCAAAAUCAAAUAUACUGCCACCAUAUAGCGAUUCCUUUUCAAACUGCCUCAACAGACGCUCUCUUGGAGAUUCAGGGUCACUAUCUGAACUCAAGCCAAAUGGGCUAUGCUCUAUCCCAAGCAUAUUUAAGAACUCGCUUGCAACAGAUUCAGAAGCAGCAUCCAAGCUAAGGGACUUCCCCACCUUAGCUUUAUAAUCUGAUUUAAACUCCAUGUAACUUCCUUGCCCGCUUAACUCAGCCUUAGCUUGUGGAGAAUCAAAUCCAGCUGAAUCAAAAUACGGAAAUUCUUGGAACGCAGUAUCUAAUUCCUUUAUGGCAGAUUCAUCAGUAAAAAGUGUAUUUUCUUUCCAAUUGUCUUCGCUUGUAUAAACUUCUUCUGCGCAGUUAGCAUAGCAUUCAUCCAUAGAAUCUGGCUUCAUGUUCACUUGGAGAGGAACCAUAUCAAACCCGCUAUUUUUAUCAAGCUCUGCACUGAGGACCACACUAUCAUCACCAACGUUUGCGGCUUCUUCUUCAACAUUCACCAUUUCCUUUGUGGAUAUUUCUACCCCUUGUUCAAUCACAGUGAAGUCUGUUUCUUCCCCCUCGUUGACUAAGUUAUCUUUCUCAGGCUCAGACCAUGAAAUUGACUCUGGUUCAAGAGGCUCAACAUGUUCAGACAAAUCCUCAGUAUCAGGCUUUGGUUUGACAGGCUCGACAUGCUCAGAGCAUACCUCAAAUUCAGAUGUUGGUUUGAGAGGCUCGACAAGCUCAGAAAAUACCUCAAAUUCAGAUGUUGGUUUGAGAGACUCGACAUGCUCAGAGCAUACCUCAAAUUCAGAUGUUGGUUUGAGAGGCUCUACACAUUCAGAUAACGCCUCAAACUCGGCCUUUGGUUUGAGAGGCUCGGUAUAAUCAGAAAAUACCUCAACCUCAGAUUUUGGUUUGAGAGGCUCAACAGGUUCUGAAAAGGCCUCAAACUCAGGCUUAGAAUAAGUGAAACUGUCCAUUUCUCCUUCAUCAAGCUUUUGGUAUAGUACUGACACUGAACUGGAAAGUUCUGACUUUGCAGUCGGUAAGACUUCAUGAAGUAUCUUACAGUCUACAGACCGAGAGUUUGAACGAGAGCGUUGAUUAGAAUAUCCGUGACUAGGAUAUUCCGAAAGACUUUCAGUACGUCGAAUAGGCUUUCGAGUACUGCCUUUAUCAAAAGUAGUUACGGAUUUAGCUGUGCUUAGUCUAUUCAGCUUCGAGCUAGUAGGUUCAGGAGCGCUCCUGUUACUAGGUGACUCAACUGCAUCAUCACCAAUAAUUGCGAACCCAAAACUAACAUUCAUGGUAGCACCUUUAGCUUUUCCCGAGAGAUUAAAACUUGUAGUCCAUUUCCCCGACUUUUUCUCCUCCAGCAACUCCUCCAACGUAAGAGGAAGCAACCUUGUCAGAUCAACCCGAUGUUUCCCUAAAUCAAGAUCAGGAGCACUAACCACCAAAGCAUACAACAAACAAUGUUUUGCUUCAUACUUUGCCGAAUGAUGAGGCCCAUUUCCACUACCAUAUACAGAACAUUUAUAAGUCAAAGUUUCUUCAAAAUCAGCCAUUCCUUCAAAAACCUUUGUCGGUCGAGUCUGCAACAUACCAUCUCUUCUCUUCCAGUGUACACAUAGACUGACAUCACUGAAAUUCGGCGGAAGACCCUCAAUGGAAUGAACUUGAAGAGAGAAACAACAAUUAAACCUACGAUUUCGUAUAUGUGAUAAAGCUUUCAAAGGUUUCCAAUUCCAUAUCGACGACUUCUUAUCCUUUUGUGAUGAUUCUUCUUUAACUAUCUUAGAUUUUGAUUUUGAUUCAGGAUAAGUUUUGCCAACAGAUUUAGAUCGAAGAUCAGAAGAAGAAACCAAUCGACUUGAUGGAUUUCUAUUCAAAUAUAAAGCUUGGCCUAAUGCUUCAAUUUCUUGUAAUAAUCUUCCAUCCCCAUAAUUUUUCUUCCUAGAAUCAGCCUUGGAAAGCAUUUCUUCAACAAAACAAUACAAAAUCAAAAUCAAAAUCAAUACCAAAUUACAAAUUAAAAUUAAAUAAUUAAAUUUUUAAAUUUAUUUUAUUCAAAAUUAGUUCAAACAAGUCACUAUUUCUUAUCUUAAUCUUCAAACAAUGAAAAUAAAAACAAAAAAAAAAUCAAAAUCCCUAAAUCCCAAAUCAAUUUAAACAUAAACAAGGAGAAGAAAGAAAACAGUUUGAAUGAUCUUACCAGUGUUUGGAAUCUGGGCAAGUAGAGAGAAUUUAGAAGAAAAACCCUAAAUUUAAGGUUGGAUUCUCAUAGUUAUCGUCGCCUGAUGUUGAGGAAAUCUUAGAGAGAGAGAAACCCUAAUAAGUUUUAGAGAGAAAUGAUGAAGACGGCGUAUCGGGCGAUUUGCUUAUCUGUGUUGAACUGUAAACUGUUUUUGUUGGUGUUUUAUGCCGAUGAAGAAGGAGAGAGAGAGAGAGAGAGCGGGACCUUGUUUUGUACGAAUUAAAAAAAAAAUGGGUUUUGGUGAAAGAGAAAAAUAAAUGUUUUGUCUUUGGUUUUGGUUUUGAUUUGAAUUGACUAGUGAGUUGGCUUUGGAUAGAUUAUGGUGGAGCGUGUUGUAUUAUUAUUGGUAUAAACUAAUAAUAAUUUGGUAAUUAGUUGUCUUAUUUUCCUCAUUUGGGGAAGAUUAUUAUUGUAAGAUGCUUUGCUUGUAAUAGUGAUGGUAUCAGGAAACUUUAGUCAAAAUCAAAUUCUGUACUUUAUAGUUUAUCCCCAAAAAAUGGCAAACAUAUGAGCCUAUGAGGCAUAAACCAUGACCAGAACAUUUGUGCAUGUUUUUGUUAUUUACACAAACAUGUGGUGUUCUUUCAACUUUGUAGUGAAACAUUCACGCUAAUAAAGAUUUGAAGAUCAAUAAACUUCUAUUAUGAGAUCACGGAUUAGGCGAAAGUUAGGUAUGUUUAAUUCGUCGAAAAGUCACUCUCUCAAAAGAUUUUAGAGUCUAAACUUGUUAUUUUGCUACAAAUAAAACCAAGAAAUGGAACAAAAGUAUCUUGUUUGUGAAUAUCAAGUGUUUUGCUUUCAUAAUUCAUGAAAAUCAUCCCCAAGUGUUAGAAGUUUCUAUCAAGUUAACCAUCAAUCACCUACUAAGAGCAUUCCCAAUGGUAAAACACUUUUAGUGGUGCCACAUAGGAUGGUUUUAAGGAAUUUUGGGGUUUUCAAUGGUUUUAGCGAAAAAAGGGUUUUAGUGUUUCCAAUGGUGGAUUAUCCAUACCGCAAUCUAUGUGGGGUAUGGAUCCAUACCGCACUCAUUGUGGGGUAUGGAUCCAUACCGCACUCAUUGCGGCGGAUGGAUCUUCUUUUAGAUGAGUCCAUACCGCACUAAUUGUGGGGUAUGGAUCCAUACCGCACUUAUUGUGGGGUAUGAAUCCAUACCGCACUAAUUGUGGCGGAUGGAUUCCUACGUGCCACUUUUAACUCCUUGGCAAAUUUGUCAAGGAGUUAAAAGUGUUUUGCUUGAAAAGUGUGUUAAAAGCUACCAUUGGCAAGUGUUUUCACUAAAAGUUAACUAAAUGUGUGCUAAAACCUACCAUUGGGAAUGCUUUAAAACUUUGACAAAAUUAAAAAGGGAUAUUCCCUCUCUUGAGUCUUGAGAUUCAUGUGGUUAGAAUUUAAAAUUUCUUGUACAAGUUUUUGAAUUUGAAAUGAAUGUGGGUCCUUUUAUAUAUGUCUUUCGACUUGCAUCUUUCAACCAACAAGAUAAGCUACUGAGUCGCAUCACUCCAAACUCCAAACUCUAAUAUCCAUAUUCUUGUCCACCACUGACCGAUUCAAUCAAGCAGUAUUCAAAAAUAAAAAUGAGUCGCCAACUCGUCCCACUGUUGUCAAAAAUGUUUACCACAUUAAUCUUUUUUUAUUAUUUAUUAAACUAUAUGAGCUUUAUAUAUAUGUAUCUUGUGGUUCUUGCAUAAUGAAAAUUUAAUCAGAUAGCUAGACUUCUAGAAUUGAUAUUUCGUGAAUAUCAUGGUUUUGAAAUAUUAAAAAUGAACGUAAAUAUAAAAUAUAGUGAUCAUUUGGGAUCAACAUCCACCUUAAUUAGUGGUUUCGUGCUUUUUAAAUUUUAUAUUGUAUGAACAUUGAUCAUUUGAUGUCAAAUGACGACACCCCUUAAAAAUAAUAUUUGCCACAGAAAUGAAUUGAUGUGUGUCAUGAAGUCAGCAAGGAUAAUCUUAUAUUCUCUAGCAUCCUUCUUAAUUAUUUGGAUUAUAUAUGGUUGAUCAUCGUAAUCUUAAAAUAAUUAUAUUAAAAGUUAUUUUGCUCAUUUGAUGAGAUUGAUCUCAUGGCAAUAUAUGUCUUCUGAUUAACAACUAACCAUAUGAUAGUGAGAUGUAACCACUAUUCCAUUUAAAAACUCUUCAAGCUGUGCUUCAUCAGUGGGUUUGGCUAAAUUUGACCUCAAUAAUUAGUUUAAGGACAGGGGAAAAAAAGAGUUGAUUAAGGACCUAAACUUGACAGACGUCACUUUAGGUUCCACUGCACCAAUGUGCUGGGCUAAAGCUAUGUGAAAGGUCCAUUACACUCAUUUCAAGCCAUCAGCUCACUACUCAUGCACUUUCUUAUUUCAGCCCAAGUUCACAUCCUCGCAUUAAAAAGUCCUCUCCAGUCUCCAAUGUUACACGUACCAAUUCCAGUAGCAGGAAACGUUCAACAUCAAUAGUUCAUAAUUCAUAUGACAGACCACCAUAACACCAUUCAAUUAUUCAAAUAUCAACCUUAUCUUAAAAGUUCUUGAGCUAAUAAUUGAGAAAACCAGUUCUACUGCUCUAGAUUCAGUGCAGGUAUCAAUUCAUUAUUUCAUUGGCUUCUGUUUCCAUAUCUCAUAGAGUUUGAACCAAUUUAGAGAGAUGGUAGGACCACAACGACCGCAAUUCGUGCUCUUUGGAUCAUCCAUUGUUCAGUUAAGCUAUAGCAAUAGUGGAUGGGGAGCUCAUCUCUCUGACAUCUAUAGUCGUAAAGCAGACAUUAUUUUACGAGGGUACAAUGGUUGGAAUUCAAGGCGUGGACUUAAAGUUGUCGAUCAAGUUUUUCCAAAGGAUGCAGCUGUACAACCUGAUUUGGUUAUAGUUUACUUUGGAGGUAAUGACUCCAUGGCACCUCAUCCAUCAGGCUUAAGUCCUCAUGUACCACUUGUGGAAUACAUUGAGAACAUGAGAAAGAUUGCACUUCAUCUCAAGAGCUUGUCAGAGAAAACGCACAUUAUUUUUCUUACUUGUCCUCCUGUCAAUGAAGAACAAUUCGGUAUAUCAUUUGGCACUGAGCUCGUACGCUCAAAUGAAGAUUGUCAGAGAUAUUCAAAUGCUUGUUUAGAGCUCUGCAGAGAUAUAGGAGUAAAGGUAGUUGAUCUUUGUAGUGCAAUCAAGAGAAGAGAUAACUGGGAAAAGUUGUGUUUUAUUGAUGGUGUCCAUUUCUCUGCCGAGGGUAGCUUUAUAGUAGUGGAGGAGAUACUGAAGGUUUUGAAGGAAGCGGAGUGGGAACCAAGUAUGUAUUGGAAGUCACUGCCAACUGAAUUUGCAGAUCUUGUUGCAGAUGACAGAAUACACACGAUAAACGUCGAUGAAUGGACCCUUUAUAGGAAACAUUGGCAUUAAGUUGUAAAUGCACAAAUGGAAGUUUGUCUUCUGAUUAAUUGUAACCACUGAAUAAGUUGAUCUAAAACUUGUUAACUUAUUUUACUGUCUUUUUUUUUUUUUUGAACAAAAGAUAAUUUUCCAUUCAUUCUAGCACAAAGCUGUGUACAAACAGGACUUUCCGGCAGCUGUACAUAUCCUUACAGUUUUAUUCAAAGCUACCUAACUACCUAAGUUACAAAAAUAUACAAGAGACUCAAAAACCUCUGGGAAAGGAGAUGGAGAUGAUGUAGUAACAAUUACUUGUAACUUGUACAUAAGACCACCACCAUGAGGUUUUGUCUUUCAUAUGUCAUUUGUACAACUAUGUGCAAUAUCAUUUAAAGCCAAUGAAAUAUUCUCACUAUGUUUCUUUCAACUCCAAUUCACAUGGCAUUUGUUUGUGAUAAGAAUGACGUCAAAUUAGACAACCGAUUCAUCUUCCAACUUAGUUGGUGCUUUGGUAUGAUAUCUUUAAAGUGAUUUUUAUGUCUAGAUGCAUCCAAAGAUGACCCAUUGACAUCAUUCAAAAUCAAAUCAAUUCCACAUAUAAUUGUAAUAAUCAAGUCAUUGAGAUGUCAAACAAAUUGAUUGAUCCAACAGUAGAAUAAUCCCAUUUUCGAAAAUUUGAGUAACCAAAUUUUUGUUUAACUCAAAAUUUGAAAUAUUAUCACUGAUGAAUAAAAACACAUUUUUUAUUGUUUAUUACAAUCCAACCGUUGGAUGAUCACGAAAUUUGAACACAUUAUUGCAUAAGACGUUAUGCAACUACUGUAAAAUUUUUAACUCGAUUGGAGAACUUCAUCCGACCAUGAACUUCAGACUGUGCAAUACUGAAAUUCAAUCUAAAUUUCUAGUACUUCUUCCUUAUAUGUUUUUACUUCUUCUCUCUAACCUUGUUUGUCUUACCAUUAAUGGAAUAACUAACAUCUUGCACUCAGAUGAGAGAAUUCAGAGAAACCAGAAAAUCUUGUAUACUUGGGAAGACCCAAACCACACGUCCAUACUUCUUAAAAAUACGUGUUUAUUCAAACAAAUGAUGCAUCUCUUCAAAGAUGUUUGUCGCACCUUUUCAUAAUAUACAUCUGUUCAUAGUUGAAUAGAAUGCCCUAAUGGCUAUUGUAUGCUUGAACCAUCAAAGGACACCAAAGACAUCAUUUCAGGUGUAGUACGUGUUCAUUCAACCAUUCAAUUAACACAUAAAAGAGGUGUGAGACCUUUUGUGCAAAUUAGUGUGCUUCUAAAGCCACUUCCAAGUUCCAAAUAGAUGAUUAGCCCAAUAGUUGUCUUUGAAAAGUUUCCAAUAAUUGCUAUCAGAAAUGAAGGCAUUGUUUGACUCAAAACUUAAAACAACAAAAUAUUAUUUAAUUAAAUCAGUCCAUGUCAAACAUGUUGAACGGUUUACGUGCAAGAAAUAUAUGAAAGUUAAUGAUCAAGAAAUAUAUACAUCAAACUUGAGAAUUAUAUUACUUCGUCUUCUUUGUCAUCAUCGUGGACAUGUACCCAUACUAUCUGAUUAACAUAGAUAAUCUGUUGUAUAACAUCUUCAUCACUUCUUAUUAAAGAAAUUAUUGUUAAAUCAAUUAAACAAACUAAAACAUAAAACCACAUAGAUUCUAUUGAGAUUCUGUUGAUUACAGUAUAUAAAACAACUGCUAGCUCAGUUGGUUUGUUAUCCCUCUCAAACACUCCCACGAGUGAGAGGCUGUGAGUUCAAUUCCCAUCAACAGUGUUUGGGGGAAUUUCUCAUGUAAUUCUUAGGUGGGUCAGCCUUCGGGCCUGGUUCGAGAUUAGGAGGCCCAUGCUCUUAUGAUGAUGAUUUGUGGUAAGAUGUUCUCCCAUGAUGAUGAUGUGGCUAGGUGUUCUUCAGCGAAAGCAAGUCCCUGAGUAGCAAAAUUGCUCGAGUUGCAAGGUGGCGGUGUGGACACUUAGGUAGUAGCAUCAGUAGCCUUCGGGCCUUGUCUUUGUAAGCCCUUUGGGCCCUGUCCUUGUAAGCCUUCGGGCCAUGAUUAAUAUACCAAUUUUUUUUUAAAAAAAAAAAAAAAAAAAAAAAAAAAAAAAAAAUUCCAUAUUAUUAUGUUCAUACUUCAAUAUGUUUUCUGAAUUUCUGCAAUCUUCUACUUUUGAACAGGAAUGGAGGUAGCAUAAGGGUUUUUUUUAUGUUUUCUUUUUCUGUCUUAUGUGCAAAGAGGGGAUGUCCUCUUGGGUAGCUUGCUGUUGGUGCAUUUACAAAAAUGCAUGCUGAACAGGAGUUGUUGGUUGAGAGAUUAGAAAAUUUAUAAAAUUAUUACUUUUUAUCAAAAAAAAAAUGUUCAUACAAACUUUCAAAUCUGGCUUAAUAUUAUUGGAUUUGAAACAGGUAAGCGUUGUAGAAAAUAAAAAAUAAUACUAGUAAACAGAUUUUAAAUUUAUUAUAAAAUAAUUUUUAAAUGUAAUUCUUGUUUUUUUAUAGAAAGAAGAAACGUUUCAUGCAUGUUCAUUUGUUGGUUGGUUCAUGAACUUGCCAACUUGGUGGAUAUGGAGAAAGAUAAUGGUACUAGCUAGUUAAUGUCUUAACUCUUAAUAACCACCAUUCAAAUUAGAAUUGAAAUCAAUCUUAUCUAAUUAAGUACAACUUGUAAUUACAUGCAUGUAUAGUAUAUACUAAUAUAUAUAUAUUGGCUUCUGCCUUUCCAAUAUUCUCAUAGAGUUUUAACGUUUAAAGCCAAUUCAAAGAGAUGGUAGGACCACUAAGGCCUAUGUUUGUGCUCUUUGGAUCUUCAAUUGUUCAGUUUAGCUACACCAAUGGUGGAUGGGGAGCUCAUCUCACCACUGUCUAUAGUCGUCAAGCAGACAUAGUUUUACGAGGGUACAGUGGUUGGAAUUCGAAGCGUGCACUUGCUAUCGUCGAUCAAGUUUUUCCGCAGGAUGCAGUUGUACAACCUGAUUUGGUUAUAACUUACUUUGGAGGUAACGACGCCAUGGAGUAUAAUCCAUCAGGCACAAGUCCUCAUGUACCACUUGAGGAAUACAUUGAGAACAUGAGAAAGAUUGCACUUCAUCUCAAGGGCUUGUCCGAUAAAACACGCCUUAUUUUUCUUAGUUGUCCUCCUCUUAAUGAGGAACAAUACAUUUCUGCAUAUGGCAAUGAGAUAGUUCGCACAAAUGAAACCUCUGAAAGAUAUUCAGAAGCUCUUUUAAAGCUCUGCAAAGAAAUAGGAGUGAAGGCAAUUGAUCUUUUUAACUCAAUCAGGAGGAAAGAUAACUGGCAAAAUAUAAGUUUUACAGACGGUAUCCAUCUCUCUGCUGAGGGUAGUUCUAUAGUUGCUGAAGAGAUAGAGAAGGUCCUGAAGCAAGCAGAAUGGGAACCAAGUCUGAAUUCAGACUCAAUGCCAACUGAAUUUCCAUAAUCUAUUUGAAAUUCCAGAUUCUGUUGCAGAUGACAGAAAGCACAAUAAUUUGCAUCAUUACUAAGUAUCUAUGUGUAUAGGUAUUAUUGGGUAUGGGUCUUGGCUUUUAUACAACCUACUUAUAAUUAAGGUAAGGAUAAAAUCGAAAUUAUCAGUAUUGGGUAUGGGCCUGGACUUUUAUACAAUCUGUUUAUAAUUAAGGUAAGGGUAAAACCAGAAUUAUAAAUAUUGGAUAUGAGCUUGAGCUUUUAGAAGGGUAAAACCGUAAUUAUCAGUAAUGUUUAUCUGUGUUUGUGACACGUCAGGCUUCGCAAACCACCUCGGUUUAGGGGAACCUUAUAAAGUAGUAGAGAUAUGUUUUUAUAAUUUUCUUGAAUUGUGUUUAAUUAAUAUCUAUUUUCAAGUGCUAUUGAAUAUUUGUAUUUUUAUAAAUAUUUUCAUUCUGAAUUAUGGUUUCUAUUUCCACUAGAGUUGGUUUAAGCUUAAUAUUCCUUGCUUUCUAGUGAUUGUUCUUCUUAUUUAAAGAGUUAUAGACUUGUAGGCCUUUUUUAACAAAUUCAAAUCAAAUCAAGCAACAAAUAUGGCAAUACAAAAGCAUAAUCCAUAUAUUAUUAAAAAAACAAGCACAAUCCUUGGAAGCUUAAGUAGUGUCGUCUCAAUAAUAUAAUGCAAUAUCAGAGGGAAUUUGAAGAAGAACCCAAUACCAACAAAAACCUAAAGAAGACUCCUUAAGUGUUGUUAACGGUUCAGCAGACGAUAUGAGUGAACGUAAUUAGAAAUGAACGUAAGUAUAAAAUAUAGCGAUCAUUUGGCAUCAACAUCCACCUUAAUUAGUUAUUAGUGGUUUCGUGUUUUUUAAAUUUUAUAUUAUAUGAACUUUGAUCAUUUGAUGUCAAUUGCUUUUGCCACAGAACUGACAUGAAAUCAGCAAAGAUAAUCUUAUAUUCUCUAGCAUCCUUCUUAAUUAUUUGGAUUAUACAUUGGUAAUCUUAAAAUAUUUAUAGAGAUAAUUAUGGAUUGCCCCUCUUUUUAAAAUUGAAGGUGACGACUGCCCCUCUUUUCCAAAUUGUUUCAUGACCACCCCUAUUUUUAGCACCUUUCUACUAUAUUUCUCAUUUUACUCUUAACUUUGUGUUUCAUGUUUGCCCCUCCCUUCUCAAAACCACACUCUGAGUCAACAACUCAUAGUAGUUUCAUUACCGACCGUAAAUCUAAAUAAAAUAACUACAAAUCAACGGGUAAGAUCUAAUCCGAUCUAAUGUCUAUCUCGAUACCCAUCCAACGGUUAAAACAAAAGUUUAGCACCAAUCACAAUAUGACACGUGUCUACUUACUUAAUUUCCCCAAAAAUCAAACACGAAUCUCCACAAAAUUAUUAGUACUUCAAAUUCAAAAAUCAAACCAACCAUUAAUGUUGAUCGCUAAGGUAACAUAAUGUUUUUUCCCUUCGUCGUCGAUUUCAAUAACUUCAAUGAUAUUAGAACGUCCAUCUUCUUCUCCAAUUAUUUCAACUUCGUCAUUGUCAACAGACUUCACAGUAUUUCCUUCAUCUUUGUCAUCGAUUUCAAUAACACCUUCGAUGUUUUUGAAAUAAUGGGAGAAGCCUCUGUAAACGUCGUCUACCAUUAGAAUCAACAAUGGAAGCCAUUCAUAAGAUAAAAUUAAACUACUUUACACGUGGUAAUUAAGGAUUAGAGCUAAUUUGAACCAUAGAUUUGUAUUUAGAUUCGUGUUAGAUUCUAUUAAAUCUUGGCCAUUGAUAUUGUCUGGACAUUUGUAUUAAAUUAUAGUACUGUACAUGUGUCAUCUUUUAAUUGGUUAAUAGGAUUUCCUUAUGGCCGAAGAUGGGUAUCGAGAUUAGUGUUACAUUAUUUUAAAUCUCCGGUUGGUAAUGAAACCACUAUGGGUUGUUGACUCAGCAUAGAGUGUCGUUUUGAAAAGGGAGGGCCAAAGAUGAAACACAAAGUUUAGGGUAAAAUGGGAAAUAUAGUAGAAAGGUGCUAGAAAGAAGGGUGGUCAUGAAACAAUUUGAAAAAGAGGGGCAGUCGCCACCUUCAAUUUAAAAAAAAAGGGACAAUCGCUAAUUAUCUCAUAUUUAUAUUAAAAGUUAUUCUGUUCAUUUGAUGAGAUCGAUCUCUUGGCGAUAUAUGUCUUCUGAUUAACACUAACCAUGUGAUAGUGAGAUGUAACCACUAUUACAUUAAAAACUCUUCUAGCUGUGCUUCAUGAGUGGGUUUGGCUAAUUUUGACCUGAAUAAAUAGUUUAACAACCGGGGGAGGGGGUUGAUUAAGGACCUAAACUUGACAGACAUCACUUAAGAUUAUUGGGUGAACAUUAAAACGAUUGAAGAGAAAUUUUUAAUUUUUUUCUGAUAAGGUUCAAACAUAAUACAGUGUUACAGAAGGGACCAAGUUCCUUCUCCGGCCAGUCACGGUUUCCGGCAGGUGCUAUGGUGGUCAGGACCUAGAUCUACUGACUGGGAACAUUACCGUGCAAAGAGAGAAAGCAGCAUGUAAAACCUGCAGGUUCCACUGCACCAAAGUGCUGGGCUAAAGCAAUGGAAAAGUCCAUGGCACUCUUUCAAUCCAUCAGCAGCUCACUACUCAUGGACUUUCUUAUUUCAGCCCAAGUUCACCUCCUCGUAUUAAAAAGUCCUCUCCAGUCUCCACUGUUACACGUACCAAUUCCAGUAGCAGGAAACGUUGAACAUCAAUAGUUUUUUUUUUUUUUGCAAAUUGCAAGCGUAGGGUUAAGGCAGACCCCAACCAGAUUUUAUUGAAACCAGAAACAGAUUACAUUCAGUAUAGUGUGCCAAUAGCAUCACUAUCUAUGAGCCGAUCAAUAGUAAACCCCAUAGGGUAGGCAAAAUAGGUGAUUACAUCAGUGUUUGGGUAGGUUGUUGCCAGGGCAUCUGCAACCUUAUUAGCUUCCCUAAACACAUGUUGAAUGGUAAUUUCCUCAAAUGAUCCCAUGAGAGAUCUGAUGUGCAUGGCCAUGCUUUCAACCCUCCAUGUUGGAGCGGUUAACCUAUUCAGAAUCCUAGCAACCUGCAUCGAAUCAGUUUGCACCAUAAUCUUUUUCAGUCCCAUCUGGAUUGCUAAUUCCAGCCCUUUCUCGACGGCAAUCAUCUCAAGAUACAGAACUGAAUUUGUUUUACAUCCUGCACUGUAGGCAUUAAGAGCUUGUCCUGUGUCCGUCCUCAGAAUCCCAGCAUAGCCAGUCCCUUGCUGACCAAGAGCUCCAUCAGAGUUGAGGGCAACCCAACCAAGUAGUGGUGGGCUCCAGGCUACUCUCAAUUGUUGUUUAUGUGCAACUUUCAUAGGUUGUCGCAAUUGGCUUGCUGCAAACCUAUUCCAGUAAUUGUCACUAUACGUCGCCUUGCUUGUUGCCACUUUAACUCUGACAUCCCGAAUGAUGAGUUGAACAAUCUGGAGCUCCGUUCUGACUUGCUUUUUGAAUAUACGCGCAUUUCUUUCUCCCCAAAUCCAAUAAAUAGUAGCAGCUAGUGUUGUUUGAAUGAGCACUUUGUGGAGGGAUUGGCCUGCAAGUCUUCUUAGAAUCCAUUUCCACUCUUUGAUUGAGUUGUUGUGUUUCCUUGUUAUCCCACACCAUGCUAAGACUUGCUUCCAUAUGCUACCAGCUAUGCAACAUUCGAAGAAGAGGUGAAAGCAGUUUUCAGGAAUGGGUCCUGUACUUGAGCUUACAUGCUGCUGAUUCCAGUGAUACAUUGAACAUCAAUAGUUCAUAUGACAGACCACCAUAACACCAUUCAAUUAUUCAAAUAUCAACCUUAUCUUAAAAGUUCUUAGAGCUAAUAAUUGAGAAAACCAGUUCUACUGCUCUAGAUUCAGUGCAGGUAUCAAUUCAUUAUUUCAUUGGCUUCUGUUUCCAAAUCUCAUAGAGUUUGAACCAAUUUAGAGAGAUGGUAGGACCACAACGACCGCAAUUCGUGCUCUUUGGAUCAUCCAUUGUUCAGUUAAGCUAUAGCAAUGGCCAAUGGUGGAUGGGGAGCUCAUCAUGUAGGACAUGUUAGGAAUUACUAUUUUAAUUCUAAGUAUGAAAUAGGUUCCAGAAUAUAUUGUUUUAGGUCUAAGUAUAUUAUAUUAGGAAUCAUUAUGUUUUUAGAAGUCGUAUAAUUUAGAAGUCCUUUACUUGACAAACAAGCUUCUUGCUCUAUAAAAGAAGCUCUAGAUUAUUGUAAUAGUUAGAGGUUGAUUAUUAUUGAAUUGAAUAGAAGAAUUGCUUUUUGAGUUAUCCUUGUUUUCUUGCUAGAUUAUUCAUCUUUUCCUUCUUUUUACUUGGUGGAUUCCAAGUUUCUCGUUCGUAUAGGUUCCUAACCCUAUCUUCUUAUCUUCUUUGAGAGAUUCUUAUCUCUUUCUUCUAAGUUCUACAUUAAGUGGUAUCAAGAACCUCACUUUCUAGAUCCUUAUCUAGAAAGCGGUCCGUCGUCACCUUCCAUUCAAGCAGUUUUCGUCCAUACAGAUUCAGAAAUAUUCGUCAGAUUUGCAGGCUUCUCCUGGACAGAAUACUUUGAACCAGUGUGCGUGCUAUAGCUUGUUGGAAAGAUCUGCGAGUCUUCUUUCUAACCCAAUCAACGGUUUGCAAUUCGGAAAUUCGGAAUUCUGAUAAGAAAGAUACACACGUUCUACUAAAAGGUGUUGAAUCAGUUUUUUUUUUUUUUCUGCAACAACACUUUUCUUAAGAUCUAAUGGCACCUAAUCAACAAGAUUUUGUUUCAAGGAAAGAUUUUGAUGCAGCCAUCAAUUCCCUUAAAGAAAGUCAGACUUUGAUGCAAUCUACCAUGAAAACAGAGUUGAAAACUUCGCAUGAUUCCUUGAAAGAUUCUAUUGAUCAACUCACCCGCCAAAUUUCUCAAUUUCUUCAAGGUAAAGACAAGAUAGAUGAAGAGAUUCCCGUAUCUACAUCCAAUAUUCCAGCCACCAUCAUCUCUCUCCCCUCUACACCUAUGGUUCCCUCCACCAUCCAACCAAUUUCCUCUUUUUCUCAAGAGGAGAGUGUUGAUUUUAACCUAGCCGACUUCUUUAAAGAAGAGGAGUUUAUUGCAUGUUCUACCUUUCCUACUUAUGAAGACCCUAUUGAGUAUUUUUGUUCGAUAUCCAUUAAUUAUAAAGGGAAUGUUAAAGCUUUGUUUGGCGACACACACUUCAAAUUGAUAUACUAUCCUUUGAUUUAUUUCCCUUCUCGAAGCCAAAAGAAGAAGUGGGAGGAUCACGGAAGUAUUAUACUCUCGUCUUUAGGAAGUGACUCCCUUGUGAUUCCAAUGCAUAACUCGAGGGCGAGUUAUUUUAAAGAAGAGGAGACUGAUGUAGGACAUGUAAGGAAUUACUAUUUUAAUUCUAAGUAUGAAAUAGGUUCCAGAAUAUAUUGUUUUAGGUCUAAGUAUAUUAUAUUAGGAAUCAUUAUGUUUUUAGAAGUCGUUUAAUUUAGAAGUCCUUUACUUGACAAACAAGCUUCUUGCUCUAUAAAAGAAGCUCUAGAUUAUUGUAAUAGUUAGAGGUUGAUUAUUAUUGAAUUGAAUAGAAGAAUUGCUUCUUGAGUUAUCCUUGUUUUCUUGCUAGAUUAUUCAUAUUUUCCUUCUUUUUACUUGGUGGAUUCCAAGCUUCUCGUUCAUCUAGGUUCCUAACCCUAUCUUCUCAUCUUCUUUGAGAGAUUCUUAUCUCUUUCUUCUAAGUUCUACAUUAUCAUCUCUCUGACAUCUAUAGUCGUAAAGCAGACAUUAUUUUACGAGGGUACAAUGGUUGGAAUUCAAGGCGUGGACUUAAAGUUGUCGAUCAAGUUUUUCCAAAGGAUGCAGCUGUACAACCUGAUUUGGUUAUAGUUUACUUUGGAGGUAAUGACAUCAGGCUUAAGUCCUCAUGUACCACUUGUGGAAUACAUUGAGAACAUGAGAAAGAUUGCACUUCAUAUCAGGAGCUUGUCAGAGAAAACGCGUGUUAUUUUUCGUACUUGUCCUCCUGUCAAUGAAGAACAAUUCUGUAUAUCAUUUGGCACUGAGCUCGUACGCUCAAAUGAAGAUUGUCAGAGAUAUUCAAAUGCUUGUUUAGAGCUCUGCAGAGAUAUAGGAGUAGGUAGUUGAUCUUUGUAGUGCAAUCAAGAGAGAUAACUGGGAAAAGUUGUGUUUUAUUGAUGGCAUAGUACAAAAUAUCGAUAUCGAGUAAUGUAUCGAUCUUCAAAAAAUAGAUAUAUCGAGAUAUAUUGGAAUCUAUCGGUGGAUAUUUUACAUCGAACCUAUCGACUAAUAUAUCAAUUUGUUAUACAAAAUAUAUAUAAAAUCAAAUUUGGAAGUAUAUUAUCAUAGUAUUUACCUAUAAAACAUCAUAUCUACUAAAAAUGGAAUAAACAAAUUAUUUCCCCCCAAAAAAAAUAUUUUCAGAAAAUAUCAGUAAAUAUCGGGAAAUAUCGAAAAAUAUCGGCCGAUACUUACAGAAACAUCAGGAGGUAAAUAUCGGGAAUGUAUCGUAUCGUUUUUUUAAAAAAACCGCGAUAUAUCGCGAUAUUUUGUACUAUGAUUGAUGGUGUCCAUUUCUCUGCCGAGGGUAGCUUUAUAGUAGUGGAGGAGAUAUUGAAGGUUUUGAAGGAAGCGAAGUGGGAACCAAGUCUGUAUUGGAAAUCACUGCCAACUGAAUUUACAGAUCUUGUUGCAGAUGACAGAAUACACACGAUAAACGUCGAUGAAUGGACCCUUUAUAGGGAACAUUGGCAUUAAGUUGUAAAUGCACAAAUGGAAGUUUGUCUUCUGAUUAAUUGUAACCACUGAAUAAGUUGAUCUAAAACUUGUUAACUUAUUUUACUGUUUUUUUUUUUUUUUAACAAAAGAUAAUUUUCCAUUCAUUCUAGCACAAAGCUGUGUACAAACAGGACUUUCCAGCAGCUAUACAUAUUUGAGUCAUUAGACUACUGAACAUCACAUACUGACAAGAGCAAUAUAAAUUCAUUGUCAUGCAUUCAUACUCAUAGAUUGUAACAUGAUUUGGCGCUACAAAACCGGCGAACUCUUAUAAAGAGUACCAUAUGAAAAAAAAACAGUUUUUUUUGAAUUUAAUCGAAAACCAAUAUACUACGUCACAAAAGCAUUAGAACGGUAUAAACCACAAACCAAAUAAUAUCUUAAGAUUGUAGAAAAAUAUACACUGAUAUAUUACUAUUUUAAAAUAAAUAAAGGGGAAUAGAUGAUGGAAACCAAAAUAAAUGGAUGAAUGACAAGAUUUAGUUCGAGCCGAAAUAAAAAUCUCUCUCCUUAAGAUAUUAUUCACGCCGUACAUGUGUUGAACGGUUUAUCAAUGGCGGAUUGUCUCCCAAGAUACAACAAUAUAUCCUUCUUAGCGUAGCAGCACUUCAAACACAUAGAAGACGGCAAACCAAUUCUUUGUUAUACUCUCUCAUGACAAGACACAAACAUUAAAAGAUGGAAAAACAAAUGAUUGAAAAGUGAUUUGAAUACAAACACAAGACACACUUAUAUAGCAGGAAAGACACCUUUUCAGAAAGGCACAUGUCUAUUGAUCUAUUCAAUGUCUAUUUGAAUAGACACUUGACCUAAUACAAUGUACACAUCUGUUGGGAACAAACACACCUAUGUGUGUACACCUAUGUGGGAACAAACACAUCUGUCAGAAUAUGUGUGUACAAAGUAUGUGUCGAUUAAGGAAAGACACACUCAUUGGGAUGGGUUGGGCCAGAUACAAUGUAUGUGAAAUGCACACAUAUCUAUUAUCUAUUAUACUCUAUUAAAGUAGAAAAUACCCCUAAGAAAAUAUCUCUUCAAUUAGGCUAUCAAUUAGAUUGAAAUCAAUAGCCUAAUUGAAUAGAAUUUUGGUUUAGUUUGGGUAUAUUUAUAAUUGUACGCAUCUAAAAAAAAUGGGCCUCGAAGAUAAUUUUACCUCUAAUUAACCCUAAUCUUUGUUUAACCUAAUAAACUCAUGUUCUACUACUUCUUCUCUCCAUACGCAGAAUAUGGUUCCAAGUUCCAACAAUCGCGGCAGGAUAAAAAAAUAGAAGUGGGGAUUACCACGAAGGAAAAGAGAUAGAAGUUCUCAAGGAAUUUAAAGUUAAGCUUUUUAUUUUCUCAUAAUGUUGGGUAAGCCUAUAUAUUUUGUUAAGUAAUCUACCUUUGAUAGAUUCCAGAUGGACAAGUUUCUUUUCAUAGGCAUGCCAAAGCAAACCUCUCUUUGGUUUCAAUGUUUAUUAGUGUGUUUUACUGGUUUCUAUAUCUUUACUUGCGCAGGAGAUCAAAUUACAUGGAACUACACUGUUUUAAUUUAUGGUUGGCGCCCUUUGUGUCAUUCUGUAGGUCGUGAACAUGAAGUUGUUGAUGAAGAAUUGACAGUCAAUCAGACAGAAACAACACAAAUAUUAAGCACACCUGUAGAAGAAAUGUACCUCUACCUCCAUGCCUUGAAUAGUCGAAUUCUCCUAUAGGAAAUGAUAAUAGAGGUAAUUUAGACAAUAUCAAAAAAAAACUAUGGUAAGUGCUAAGUGACGAUGCUGAGUAGAAUACAAAAAAAACUUAAAAAGAAAAAUUACAAACAUUUGUAGAAGAACAAAUUAAGAACUACACACUACAAAAAAAUUGUGUUUAAUUAGAAAGGAGUUUAAAAGAUUAGAUAGUUUUUACCAUUUAAAAUAAAAAUUAGAAAAUUCAGAAAUAUACACCAACUGAAAUCCACAUCCCAUUAUUUCCCUGUAUCAAAAAUAUAAAAAAAAAAAAUUCACAUAUUACUUCAUUCUUUUUCUCUUUCAAAAUCAACAAAGUUCCAUCAUUAAGUGCUCCCAGCACAAACAACACAAACCCAAAACAAAAGCCCAAAAUCUAUCAGAUAUUCAGAUCGCACAGGUGUAAGGACUAGUUUAUCUAGUAUAACACAAGUUAGUCAUAUGAGUGAAUAACUUAUGAUUUUAAUUUCUCAUUCGUAUACAAAUGUUUUGACUACUCAAAAAUAUUUCCAUUAAUUUCUCAUUCAUAUACAAAUGUUUUGACUACUCAAAAACAUUUCCAACAUGUUUUGCAAGUAAGUCGACAGCUUGAUUCGCUUCUCUCCGUAUGUAUCUGUCAAAAAUUUCAAAUCAGGCCUAAUAUUACUGGAUUCGAAACAGUUAAACGUUGUCUAAAAUUCAAAAUAAUACUAGUAAACGGAUUUCAAAUUUAUUAUAAAAUGAUUUUCAAAUGUAAUUCUUGUUUUUUUAUAGAAAGAAUAAACGUUUCAUGCAUGUUCAUUUGUUGGUUGGUUCAUGAACUUUGGUGUAUCUGGAGAAAGAUAACGGUACUAGCUAGUUAAUGACCACCGUUCAAAUUAGAAGCUGAAAUCAAUCUUAUCUAAGUACAACUUGUAAUUACAUGCAUGUUACCAUGUAUAUAUAUAUAUUGGCUUCUGCCUCUCCAAUAUUCUCAUAGAGUUUAAACGUUUAAAGCCAAUUCAAAGAGAUGGUAGGACCACUGAGGCCUAAGUUCGUGCUCUUUGGAUCUUCCAUUGUUCAGUUGAGCUACACCAAUGGUGGAUGGGGAGCUUAUCUCACCACUGUCUAUAGUCGUCAAGCAGACAUAGUUUUACGAGGGUACAGUGGUUGGAAUUCGAAGCGUGCACUUGCUAUCGUUGAUCAAGUUUUUCCGCAGGAUGCAGUUGUACAACCUGAUUUGGUUAUAACUUACUUUGGAGGUAACGACGCAAUGGAGUAUAAUCCAUCAGGCACAAGUCCUCAUGUACCACUUGAGGAAUACAUUGAGAACAUGAGAAAGAUUGCACUUCAUCUCAAGGGCUUGUCCGAUAAAACACGCCUUAUUUUUCUUAGUUGUCCUCCUCUCAAUGAGGAACAAUACAUUUCCGCACAUGGCAAUGAGAUGAUUCGCACAAAUGAAGCCUCUGAAAGAUAUUCAGAAGCUCUUUUAAAACUCUGCAAAGAAAUAGGAGUGAAGGCAAUUGAUCUUUUUAACUCAAUCAGGAGGAAAGAUAACUGGGAAAAUAUAAGUUUUACAGACGGAAUCCAUCUCUCUGCUGAGGGUAGUUCUGUAGUUGCUGAAGAGAUAGAGAAGGUCCUGAAGCAAGCGGAAUGGGAACCAAGUCUAAAUUCAGACUCAAUGCCAACUGAAUUUCCAUAAUCUAUUUGAAAUUCCAGAUUCUGUUCAGAUGACAGAAAGCACACUAAUUUGCAUCAUUACUACGAAUAUGUUUUUAUAAUUUUCAGUAAUUGUGUUUAAUUUCUAUUUUUAGACUUUGUUUCAUUCUGAAUGAUGGUUUCUAUUUUCAUUAGAGUUGGUAGACUUGUAGCCUUGUAGGUCUUUUUUAACAGAUUUAAACCAAAUCAAGCAACAAAUAUGGCAAUAUAAAAGCAUAAUCCACAUAUUAUUAAUAAAAACAAACACAAUCCUUGGAAGCUUAAGCAGUGCAGUCCCAAUAAGAUUAUGCAAUAUCAGAAUAAUUUGUAGUAGAACCCAAUACCAACAAAAACGUAAAGAAGACUCCCCAAGUGUUCACCAUUCAGCAGACGAUAUGAGUGAGGUGGCUUUGAGCACGCGACAUUGGAUAAAUUGUAAACCGUAAGGCAUAAGUGCAUCAAGAAUAAAGUGUACUUAUAAAUGCAAGUUACAACGUUGUCAGUUUGUCACCAUCACAAAAAUGACAUAAUGAUCAGUUCAACGAGCACUUCAAUCAAACUGAUGGUUAAGACUUAAGAGUUGCAUACAAUGAUUAAAAGUUGCAGAAUAGCCCACAGAGAUGGAGCUUUACAGCAUUCAAACCUUGUUUGCUUAUGUUUAUGUAGGGAUAAAUCCUCAACAAAUCACGAGACAUGUUCAACAAAGCCACUGGAAUCCAGGACAGGCAUCCACUAACCUCAAGGACAGUACUUAGAUCGCAAUAUUCUGAGGAACUCUACAUACUCAGCUGGAACUGCAUCACUGGAGAAUACUUCUUCCCAUGUCUUUUGGAGAUCAAACUUAUCUGCUGCAAAGAGACACAUGAUGAUCAUGUCAAAUCGUGCGACCUUAGUCAAACUAUCUAAGAAGUUGACAGCUAACUCAGUUUCUUCCCAGAAAAAGGUAGCAAUGCACUUUACGAUAUCAAUCAGCAGAGAGGCAGACAAGAAAUUUUUAAACAAUUGCGGCAAGGUAGAAGGAGUUAUAGUCUUCAGCAAACAAGCUUGUAAUGAUCGAUCACCAGAUAGCCUUUUCCAAGAAGUCUCAAACUCGUACGCUGACGUUGGUUGUGUGAUAUUUUUUUCAGCUUCAGCCAUUGCUCGAGACACUGCACGUGAUGCAAGCUCUUGCACUGAGUUUCUUAGCUCUUGCUCCCUUAUAGGAUGAAUUUUUUUUGAAGCAUCUCCACCAGAACUCAAUGUUGCCCCUUGCUGAGAUCCAUUUGAUUCUUCUCUCCUACUUCUGCUUCUAGUACUUUCUACUUCCUCAAUGCGAUUUUCAUUCGUUCGGAUUUUUUGUGCAGCUUGAGCAGAAUUUUUCAUUACUUGCGAAGCCUUUUCAUAAUUUUCCUUGUCAUACAUCGCUUUUGCUUCUGCAUACUGCUUCUUAAGUUCUUGGUUUUGAGGCUCUAGCCUCAAAGCAAAUUCAGAAUCUUCAAAGGAUCCUUUUAGUUUCCCAAGUUCUUUCCUAGCAGUUGCACGCCUUGAGUAUGCUUUUAUGUAACGGUCAUCCAAAUUUAAGGCAUCUGUACAAUCAUUUUCAGCCUCUUCAAAUCUUUUGACUUUUAGGUAUGCCAUAGCUCUAUUUGCAAAAGCCACUGCCGUUGGUGAUAAAGCAAUGCUUCUUGAAUAGCAGUCAAUUGCUUCCUUGAACUUUUUCUGCUUAAAAAAUUCAUUACCCAGAUCUUUUUCUGAAGCAGCAGUUGGAGAACUUUCUUCAGAUAAGCUAUUUGAUAAACGAUCGAACUCCUUUGGACUUCCUGCGUAGUCAAACUGUCGCGCAGUACUUUGUACCGUUCUACUGCCACCUAUCAUUCCAGCUCUUUGAGAGGAAGACCCGACUUCACCCUUUUCAUCAGAGUGAGCUUUUAAACUUUCCCAGCUUUGCAAAUCAUUAUAUAAUCCUCGAAAGUCCAGAUUAUUUGGAUCAGGAUAUUUCUUGUUUGGAACCCUAGCCAUAGAGGUUCUCCUCUUCACCCAACCUCAAGAUAUAUGGUUACUGCACAAAUAAUUCUUUAUAAUGACACCUAUUUGAAGAACACAUAUGAGUCAGUUAGCAACUUAUUCCACCUUUACCGAUCAAAGUAUAUACAUACUGAGCUUGCACAAUCACCUUGUUAUAGUGAAAGAUAGAAAUGAGACAAAAUCAGUCGUAAAGUUGCACUCAUAUAAAGAUGCACCCGAAUUUAGUCCAUCACCAUACAUUAGAGUAGCUAGAAUGGAACUUAGUAACUACAGGGACAUGGAUCAUUUACUAUACAAGCACGAAGCAUGUGACCAUGAAAACGAACCAACAGUUUACUUCAAACUCAGAAUACUAUGCAUACAUUCUAUGCUAUUAAUAUGACAAUGUUAACUGUAUAGAGAUGCAGCCAGUCUAAACUUAAAACCACAAUUUAGUGGGUGGAAACCAUCGAUAAAUGAAGUUUAGAAAGAACCACAAGUAUAUCAAGUUAACUCGAGCUAUUUUAUACUUAACCUGAACCAUCAGUUGGAAAGUGUUCUGGCGGCAGAAUUUCCAGAGACCUUGUCUAAAAACCCUUGGAACCAAUUUUUCACACUUUUAAUACAUAGGAUCUCAAACAAGUUUAGGAGAAGUCCAAUCCAACAUUCACUAGAGCCCAUGUCUUAUAAAACGAAAAACAAAAAAACAAUACUGUACAUUAUACCUAUGGUUUCAACCAUAGUACAAAAUAUCGCGAUAUAUCACGAUAUAUCGCGAUAUUUAUCGGUUUUCAAAGAAAACGAUACGAUAUAUUCCCGAAAUUUUCGCCUUAAAGUAUCUGUAAAAUAUCGGCCGAUAUUUUUCGAUAUAUUCUGAUAUAUUCGACAUUUUCCGAUAUUUACUGAUAUUUUCCGAAAUUUUCUGGAAAUAUUAUUUUUUUUCAAAUUUUUUUUUUUGGAAAUAAUUUGUUUAUUCUAUUUUUAGUAGAUAUGAUGUUUUUUAGGUAAAUACUAUGAAAAUAUACUUCCAAAUUUGAUUUUAAAUAUAUUUUGUAUAACAAAUUGAUAUAUUAGUCGAUACAUUCCAUGUAAAAUAUCCACCGAUAGAUUCCAAUAUAUCCCGAUAUAUCUAUUUUUUGGAGAUCGAUACAUUAGUCGAUAACGAUAUUUUGUACUAUGGUUUCAACAUAGUGUAGGGAAUCCUUAACACUUGAGUCCCAACAAAUAUGCUAAGGAUGAGAUUAAAUGAGGAAGCAAAAUGGGAAAAUAUACAUACCACAUAUUGAUGUGGAUCACUGUGACUAAAGUGAAAACAUGGAGUCGAACCAAAACCCUUGUGCUAAAAGGUAAAAACCAAAAACAAAGGGAAUAUGACACAUGGAUUUCGACCAAAAUAAUCUUCCCUUUGUUUUUGCCCUUGAUCCAUAUCACUUGUGCUUAAAGGAUAGGAAACCAAGGGAGUGUUUGAUUGCAGAAGAAAAUGAUCACAGGUAUUUCUUACUUUGCAAUGAAGAUUAUUCUUGAGAUACAAACUUCUCUUCCAGAUUCAAAUGAUAUUUCUUCAAAUAUGGGACUCACAAAUUUCCAAUAUAAAUUAAGACCAGAAACAUGUACGCCGAAUCUGAUUCCUAUUGACACUUCUUGAGUUCUUUCUGAUCAUCGAUCUAGGAUUCUCACUAGACGCUGAUUUACAGAAAAGAAAAGUGACAAUUUAUACGCCAUAUUACGCUCCUUUUGUGCAUGCAUUAAUGUGAAAUAAAGAUAACUUUUGCUUCCUUCAUAAUGAGAAUUACCAGCAUUUCAUCUUAAGACCAGUUUAAACAACUAAAAUCAUAAAUAAACACAUAUAAAAUUCUAAUAAGAACAAAAAAAUUCUAAUUCAAUAAGAUAGUAUUAAGUGACAUAAUUGAUGAAUCACCUUAUGGAAGAAGAAUUUUCUAAUUGAAAACAGUAGAAUCUUUUUUAUCAGAAGAGUUAAUUGCAGCUUCUGCUUCAAGAAAUCGACUCAAAUGUUUAUCUUCAAGAUGUUCCUGCAAAACCCAAAUCCAAAUCAAUCAAACCCCAAAUCGCUAAUUACUCAUAAAUGAAGAAGAAUAGAAAGAAACACUUACAGAAAGACAAGCUCUGUACUUCUGCCACUCAGAAACACACUCCUCUUUAUCCCACUUCCCUUUUACAAAUUUCUCCGAAUACCACCUGCCAAUUUCAUUAUAAAUUACUAGUAAAUUAAAAGAGAGAGAGAGAGAGAGUUGAAGUAAACCUGUUGAAACAAUCGUGAUAAGCAGCUCUUAAAACGGCACAAGGUGAUGUCUUCGGGUCCUUUUUCUUCAAAACCCCCAUAUAAAAAAUCACUCUCUCUCUCUCUCUGCAACUCUUUCUGUAUUACUGGUUCAUCGGAUUUAGGUUUUUUUAUUUAAGGAAGAAGAAGAAGAGUUGUUUCGGCUUCGUUUCAACGACAAGCCGAAACUUCCAGACUUUUACGAUGAUGACUUGGAUCCAGUACUUUCUUGGGCACACUUCGUAUGUCCAUUUUCAGUGGAUUGGACUUUUCAGAUAAGCCUUGGCUUCUCAUUGCCAUAAGCACAGUUCUAUAACUUAUUUAGAUGCUUUAGUAAAGAACAUAGGUAUCGUAAUUUGUGCAAGUUUGGAUUAGCUCAGUUUUUGGUCAACACUAGCUAACUUUGCUUAAAUUGGAUUGUAAGAAAAUGUGUUAACAUUAACAGUUGGGAUUUUAUAACAUGGUUAGGUGAAAGUGAAACCAUAAACAAGCACCCAAAACACUUUCAUUCAUUCAUAAAAGUGAAUAAUAAUAAUAAUAAUGUUACAUUACAAUGCUUUGCAAAUGAUUCCUUACAUAUAACAAAUGACUGCCCAAAAAUGCGGCUGUCAAAUUACAACUAAAAGUAUUGAGGACUGACAAAAACCCAAUAAAUAAAGAAACCACGAAGCUCUUUCAUGGGAAAAUGAUUCCUCGACUGUGAACAUUUCCGUAGUUGCACAGCAUGAAACUAUGAGCUUCGACGACAUCAAAAUGAAUACUCCCAACUUGCCGUAAGGACAUGGGAGGAAAAAAAAAUGAACCAAUUGGCAAUACCUAAUUGAGAUAGACCUAAAACCACCAGGUUUGGGUUCUAGACCUGACCCUUUUGCAUGAGACUAUGAUAAUGUACAAUAUACAUACACCUAGACAAGGACGAGAAUGUGAAAAUAUGCACAAGUUACAAGAGAAAAUGAAUCACACACAUGAUUCCCCAGCAUUGAGAAUGGAGUUGAUAAGGAGGGGAUCACGCAGAUAUCACUCUGCACGUUGCAAUAAGAAGACAAACCCUGAAUUUUCUCGGACGAGUGGUGGAGGGUCAAUGUCAGCUAUGUCUAUUUGUUGCAUCGUCUUUGAGAUGUCAUCAAUGGAGAAUGGUAUGCUGCAGUGAUCAAAAGGCAGGUAUUAAAUGUGUUGAUAUACGGGAAGAACAAAGUCUAGCUUGUAAGAAUGUGGGACUUUAGUGAACAUUACCUUGAGUCGUCAUCUAACAAGAAAGAACUGCUAACAGCAUUAUUUGAUUCCUCAGUCAUCUGGACUCUCAUACUGGAUAUAACCUACCAUAAGAGAGGAGUUCAAAGUGACUCAUUUGACAGAAGUGAAUUCCAUGGCAACUGAAAGAGAAAGGGUCCACAACUAUGGAUUUAAAAAGGCCAUUCUAAUUAUUGGAGAAUAUGGCAAAAGUUAAACCCAAUUGUGAAACCGGUUCAUGCUGCCAACCCUACUAAAUGCAAACCACACAAAAUAUUACUUGGGAACCAUCCACAGGCAUUAUGUUUACGAAACUAUGAAUGUGGGGAAAAUUGCAGGUCUGUACUAGUCAUUACUCGUGAUCAGAUUAGAUGACACUUACAUCUGAGGAUACACUGUGGGUCCCGUAUUUGUCGUCCCAGUACAUUGUACUGAUCCUGUACAAUUGUUGUAUGCUGAGCACCUGAAAGUAAGCAAAAGAGAAAAGAGAGUGGAGGAGCUUACAUCGCGUUUACAAUUAGAAAAGCGAUUAAGGGUAAUGCACACCGUAUUUGUCUUUAAAUAAGCUGAAUCUCACUUCUGAAGAAAUUUAAAUAAAACGAACUUUUAUGGAGUACGAGUUGAGAGCACUCACAGGGCAAAGUUCUUUUGUUAUUUCAUUCAAGGUCUUUUUGGGCUUUUGAUGUAUGACCUGCAGGAAAGCAAAAGUUUAGAUAUUAAAGACUCAGUUAGCAAGUAAUAUCAAGAUUACUCAUUUUUGCAAGACCAAAUGAACAUAACGCACCAGGAAUCCAACUGCUUGUCUGAUAUGCCUCAGUUCAUCCCAAGCAGUACCUGCAUACUGUACGAAUAUGUAUAUGUAUUUUAGGAUUCAUCAAAAUGCCUGCUAAAAACAAUCGUCCAAGCAGGUUUAGUUUUUAGUUACCUCCUCAGUUGCACUCACGCACCACUGUUCUAACUCGGCCAACCCGGCUUUCACAAACUCACCAUUACUGAACGAGCAACACUCACGCCGCAAAAGAAGGCUGUAGGGAUGCAAUGUUAUUGGUGCAAUGAUAACAUAUUGCAAUCAGGGAAACUAUAAUUUUAACAACAUAUUUACCUGUUGAACAGUUGAACAUUGACAAACGAGAAAAUCUGAGUGAACACCUUGCGGACUAAGAAUGGGGGAACCUACAGAUAAAUAAGUUGUGAGAGUAUGACACACUUCUCAGAAAACACAAUCCUUUUGCAUUAUCAUUUUCUCUGAAUUGCAAACUCACAUAAUUUGCUCUCAAUGUCUUCAAGUAAUUGUUAAGAAUUUUCACAAUGCUUUGCCAAUGAGCAAUUAAAGCUUGCUGAGCAACCGCAUUUGCUUGUGAACGUGAACCUUUCACUAAGCUUGCUCGCGAUGCUCUGGGUGCCUGCCCAAAAGAAAAGAGAAUCAAAUGGAGUUAGUAAACUGCUAAACAGUUGAAGAAAGCACUGUGAUGAAUUAGGAGUUUAAUUAAAACUGGGAACAUAUUUUAAGGAACUAAAUAUUUGUGAAAGUGUUACACAUGUUUUGCAUCUGAUCAGAACUUUCGCCGGGAAUCUUAAGGCAAUCUAUUGUUACGAUUACUGAGCUGAGAUAUGAUGGCACAACAAAUAACACAAGAACGAUAGGAUGACAUGGUGACAGGUGGGUCAACCUCAAGCACUGACACACACAAAGAUGUUUCCCCAGCAUUGCUGCUGAAGGAGCAUCGGAAGUGUUAUUUUAAGAGGAACCAACCACAAUAAAAUAUAUACGAUAACAAUGUUCUAUUUCUAGGACCCACAUUUGAUGUAUGACAAUUUCAUAAUUAUAUUUUAGAGAAAGACUAUCUAUUUCUUCAACUAUCUAUUUCUUCAAACCUUGAAUUCAGUUGCAAAUAAAUACCAAGUAACCGUGGUUUGAAUAGUCCAUAUUACUUUAACUUGACAAUCACUCUGGAUGAAUUAACAUUUUAUGAAGAUCACACUAGUGUUUAUUUUAUUCUAUAUUCUCCUUUGAAGGUGUUACAAUGACGGAUCCUGAGGAAGUAUUAUGUAUUUAGCAAUUUAUGUAGCAGAAAGAUUGGUAAACAAACCAAAUUUGAGCUAGUUAUGUGUGAGCUUCCACAUUAAGAUGGUGAGUGCUUUUCCGAACAAAUACUAUGAAGUCAUAUGAAAAGGUAUCUAUGAAUUAUAUCCACUGGAUUGAUCUUUUCAAAGUCUAUUCCCAAUGUUUAGCUUCUCUUUAAUUGAAUUUCUUCUUCUUUGUUCAAGGCUUAGGGUGUCUAUCUAUUAGGCGAUUACCGCAGAAGUUUCAAAAUUAGUUGAAGCUUUCCACCAACUAAUUUUCAUUAGAUAGAGAAUUCAGAAAAACGCUUACAACAAAAUCCAAAUUUUUGAUAUUGUUACAGUUCUUUGGUGUUUACGUUGAAAGGUGGCCAGUUUCCAACAGGUGGCCCAUGUUGGGGUUAUCUAAUUCUCUCUCACUCUUCUUCUUCUUCUCAUAUAUCAAUACUCCUUAAAAUGCAAUAUUUCGUGUAAUGGUAAUAAUGCAAUCUUCUUUACUAUACCAAUACAACAAUUUGUACUGUCAGGAUUAGAUAAUGUUUCUUCAAAUUAUUGGACAAAAAAGUGAUUUGCUAACCUGAAUACACAGUCCAAGCAUUGGGGAGAUCUCUUUCUUAAGAUUGUCUCUUAUCAUUCCAUAUAUCUUCUCAAGGAAGGCUGUGAGUUGUUGUUUAAAAAGUAGAGCUGGAUAUUUGGCUUCAACUUGUCGCAAAUCAUCCAAUCCAGCAAGCAUCCGGCCAUUAAGAAAUGAAAUCCCUGCACUUUGUGGAGAUCCUCGAAGUCCCUACAUAAUAUUUUAUAAACAGAUGAAACAUAUGAUCAUACUAUGACGGAGGUACAUGUAUAGAAAUAAAACGAGUGAUUUAUAGUUACUUGAGACAUCCUCCCAAAGAGAGAAGCCGACGGUGUUCUCCUCCGUUGUGGAGUCAAGCUAGCUGCACCGGUUGCUUUCAAUGUGCGUUGGAGAAGCAACAAUAACGUGGACGAAUUAGAUAACCAGUAGGAUAACGAAUCAUUAUUAUCCUGGACCUUCACCAAGGUAAAGCUUAGAUAAAUGAGUAAGAUGGAGUGAUACCAGUAGACUACAAAAUACACUGACAUGUGACAAUAAUAAGAUAAAGAUGUAGGUGAUUAGAUAAUUCGUUAUUGACUAUGAGGCAUAUUAAAAAGAUAAGACUCAAAUAUGAUACAUUUCUUCAUAGCCUCCAAAAUUACAUAAUACCUCUAUAGCUGAGCCAAUUGUUUGAAUGAUACGAUCAAAGACACUGGUUCUUUCGACUUCGAAUGAUCUCCAGUGAAGCAGACAUUUGUAUAUGAGACAAGAAGCAACAGGUCUUCCCCCAGAAAACCCCAGAUCUUGAGAAAUACACUUUAUCAGCAAGUCUUGGUUCUCCUGUUACAACAUCAAAUUCCAAAGCUAUAUCAACUAAAGAGAAUGAGAACUCAAAAGUUGGGGCUUUGAGUCUGAUCAAGAAGAUGUGUAGACUGUAGACUGUACAGAUAAAAAACUUAACAAACUUAUAUGAACUUUUUUACCUGUUGUUUCUCAUUAAGUGACUUCUGGGGCCUUUCCUCACUCUCAGGCUCCCGCAAACUAGACACAACUGGACUCAAAUCCUGAAACAUUUGAGACAUUGUCGGGUACAACAUAAAUUAUUUCUCUUCUCCUAAAACUUAUGCAAAAUGUACCAUGUAUGUCAACAACCAACACUCACCGAUAUAGUCCUUGCUUCUCCAUUCUGAAUAUGUCCAUUCUCUGGAGUUCUCUGUGAACACACAAAUAAAAUAAAUUAGUUGAACAAUGACAUGCAUUUCUGGGUACAAAUGUGGAGCUAGAUAAACCAAAGUAACUGUUAAAUUAUGUCCACCUGAAUGAUGGUUGACUUUGGCCGUAAAGCUAAAGCUUUGCCAGUUGGAGAAAUUGCCAGAGCUUGCUGACGAAGCACUUGAUUUUCUGAUUCAAGAUUGGAAAGUUUUUCUUCGAGCCUGAGUCAUAUAGAAAGAAAAUAACUUCAGACAUUUUAAGCGCCUGCAGAGGCUUUUCACACUUGGAUUCACAGUUAUAGUCACAUAGCCUUUUUUCUGUUUGUAGGGGAUUCAAAUUUAAAGGGGACAUUUUUUUGAUGAUAAGAGUACUGACACAUCAAAGAAUAUCGUAGUUAUAAGAAGGCGUUAACCUUCUACAGUACUUGGUCUCUAAAGACACUAAAAACAAAGCCAAACUACUUUCACCUAGAUGACAUGGACCACAUGCUGUUAUGAUGUUAUCCAUAGCUACAACUUUUUCAGUCAGUGGCAGUGGGGAUGUAGAGAAAACUUUAGGGUUCCAAAUUAUGUACCCACUUUUCAGAGAAUAUCGAAACAAACCUUUGAAGUGAAUCUUGAAGCUGAUCCACUUUUUGUUCCGCAUCUCCAAGUUUUUUUACAAGUUCCUCAUUUUUGGCCUGUGCAACAGAAUGUGCGCUUUUUACUUCUUCUGCUGUCUUUCUUUCUGAUUGAAGUGAAGCCUGCAAAUUUUACAGAGUUGAAGUCACACAUCACUCAAAAAAAUUAACAAGCACUUCACAGAAUAUACAUUUUUUUCAUCUUGUUUGUUACUCUGUUUUUUUCUGUGGAGAAUAGGAGAAAUUAAAAGCACCCUAAUUAGCGCAAUAAGUUUUUAUCUACAAGAAAUUGCUUCAGAUCAUACACUCAAAUGUAAUGAUUGCUAAGCUUCUUUUCAGUCACUCAAAAGCAGCAGCAACUAUUAGAAAUUCACUAUUAAAUGCAAUGAUGUGUGCUACACUUUAGUGCUAGUUCCGAUACAUGAAUACUUUGGAUGAAUUAGGGAUACUAGCUAGUCUUAAUCAGUAUCAAAUUCCAUGUUGUGUACUAAAUUUCUAGACUUGUGUGCUCGUCCCAGUACCAGAUUAAAGGGGGCAGCCAACAGGGACUAUAAAAUAUAAUGUCUAGCAUCAAGUAUCAAGCUUUCAUGCUCGUUCACUUUAAAUGUUUAUGAACAUUAGGAGCAAAAAUAUACGUUCUGAGCUUAGUAUAUUGAGAAAAUCGAUCUCGUUUCACAAAAAAAUAGCAUAAACGACCAAAAUCUCGCGAUAAUUGCGAAAUUUAAAUCUAUGGAUGUAAUUGUACAUAAAGAAGUAGCAUUUUUCUUAGUGAACUUUAGUUAUUACACUCCAAAUGAACCUAACAUAAAAAGAAGGGAGCGUAUUCUAUAAUACACGAAUAGUAUAAGUUUUGUGGAUCUACCUUCAAGCUUUCAACCUCAGCAGUCAAUGAAUCAACCUUCUCUGUAUCUUGAACUAAUACGGGGGUCUCUUUGAUGAUUGGAGGUGCCUCCUCAAUAGCUUUUCGAGCUGCCUCUUUUUCUGUGAUGACCCUGAGGUUUGCUUCUUCUAGUUGUAUUUGCAUAGCUUGUAACGUGUCAUGUAACUUGGCGAAUUCUUGAGAUUUUGCCUCCUCCAAAUCAGUCUGCAUAUACGAUGUAUUGAGUCCAUUCUAAUUAGUUUAGCGUCCUUAAAAGCCUAUAUAAUAUGACAUUGUAUUCUCCAUAACUUCUCUCAUGGCAGAGAAAGUGGCGUACACAUUGGACACAUCAUUAACAGAAUUUAUCUUGUAUCUUGGGAAUCCAUGUGCUUAACACUUUGUGGCAAUGUUAGACACUGACGUGUGGUCUGUCUCCUUUAUGAAAUUGAAAUACAAAUAGCAACAAAAAAUAUUAAAAUUAAAAUACGGUGUGCAUUACCCUUAAUCGCUUUUCUAAUUGCAAACGCCAUGUAAGCUCCUCCACUCUCUUUUCAAGUUUGUCUUUUGCUUCUUUAAGGGCUCCAGUUUCCCUUGCAGCCUGAACACAACAACAAUAACGCUUACUACUUGUCCAUAUUCCUAAAUCUGUAUCCCAGUAAAUUACAGAGUUAUGUGAUAAUUUCAGAAGGAUAGAUCAAACCAUCUUGAGAUUUCUCAGCUCUCUCCUGGCAACCCUCCGUCUCCAACCACACUGAGAUGUGAUUACUGCCUUUUGAAGGCUCUUAUAGUAUGUAUAAUCUCUGUGGCAACGCCAGUGAGCCUGAAAAUACAAAAAGUUGGAUCAACAACUUGCCGAAACCAGAUUUUGCAAACAUGCGCUAGUUUUUCAUCAAUGUAAAAAUUAUUAAGAGAAAGAAUAGUUUUACAUCAGAGCAACAAGUGAUACAGUAAAAUGGUUCGGAGCCAUUUUGUAAAGAAUCUGAAACAACAGAGCAGAUAUAUAACAACAGAUAACCCUACCUGAAUUAUGAUUGAGUACUUUGUUUGCUUCCUAAAUCUAAAUUCGUUGCGCGCAACCAUUGCCCUUAACCCAGUUUGCAAUGUGAUUGCAGAUGACCUCAGUGUUAAGUAAGAUCUCCUGGCAAUAUAUCGACGGAAAUUUUUCUGUACUUUCAUAGCUGCUGCUUCCCGCCUCAGCUUCUCGUACAAUUUACAGGCCAUUUUACCUACAAAAAUAUAGAAGCGUAUAAUAUGACUCAGUACUCUACUAGGGUAGUAAUAGGGAAGCUGAAGUAGUCAAUGCUAAAGAGUAUAAAAUCUUCGAUGAAGCUCAUGUUAAAAUUAGUAAAUUGUGAUGUAUGGGUCAAGAAAAAAAAACAUAAUCCUAUAUGUGUGGGCAAUAAUAUGGUAGAUGCUAACUACCACAGUACCAAAUAUUUUCCGGUCCCCUGAUCUAAACUGGACAUAAAAUAAAAGCAUAUGUUACUGGUCUAAAGUUUAAAUAGGAUGGAAAACUUCAUAGAGAGUGGUACAACAAUAAGCAAAUAAAUGCCUUCACUGUGAGAAUCAUGAAAGAUACCUCUACAACGAGAUUGCAAAUGUAUUGCAGCCUUGCGUAAUGAGACAAACUCCUUUCGAGCAAUAUAUGUACGUAUUUGUCUUUGAAUGGCUCUUGCAGCAUUGCCCAGUACUACAGCUCUUCGUGCAUCCAACUCAGCCAUCUGACCAGCUCUUAGAAAGACUUUCGUUUUGCCUAUCUGUCAUAUAAACCAUGGGGGGCAUGCAAAAUAAGAUAACUUCAAAAAACUUUCGUUUUGCCAACUGAAACAAUGAAUAAUUUUAAGAUUAUUACAUAAGUACAUAACCACAAUACAGAACUUCAUGAUUUGAAAAAGCAUAUUUACCUGAUACCCUUUUAAUCCCUUCUUAUCCAGAAUCAUUUGGCAUGCAACCAUUUCAUCAUGACUACACGAAGAAACAAAUUACUUUCAUUAGAAUUAAACAUUAACAGAAUCUUAUAUCUUAUCCCUACAAUAAAAUUCCACUUUCUCCGGAUAAGUACAUCAAUGCUUUUAAAGGUAUCUUAAGACUUACUUUCCUUCGAAAACUUCUGGAGCAAGGAGACCAAAACGAUUAAGAAACUCAUAAAAUGUUCGUCGGGUAGGAUAACCAGCGCAGCUAAUCCUAAUUGCCUCGAGAACACCCUAUAAGAAUGAAAGGGAUAACAAAAGAUAAUUGCUCAAAAUUUACUGAAGAAACAACUGAAAGGAUAAUGUAAUUGUAGUAAAACAAAAUAUACUUACACCACAACGUAAUUGUUGUAUGAUGUUGAAGUUUUCAAAGAUACCAGGCUUGAGAACAUUGUUCGGCUUCACACACCUAAUGUAAUGAGGUUCUGUUGUACUUAAAGUCUCCAUUAAAGAUUGAAGUUGCAGCUGCAAAACAUUGUUGCAAGUCAAAUGAUUUUGUAAUACAUAUGUUUAAUCUGCAUAAAUCAUUUUUCAACCAAACACAUUUGACUUCAGAAAUUUGCUUGUGGACAAGACCCAAUAUAGAAAGAUCCGUAUUGUCCUAGCUGUUGGUACAUGGUUCUUUCUCCCAUAUUCAACUAGCGCUUCAAAGAGAUCAGUGAAUCUAGAAAAAAGCAGUUGAGUUUGGCAAGAAUCUAUUCAAUGAGAGUAUUGAACGGAAACCAUAAUCUUAUCAAGCAAAUCAAACUACCAUCCACAUUUGCCAAGUUAAACUAUCAACCAAAUCAAAGCAUAAUCAUAGAAGCCUUCUACAACUAAGUGCCACAAUCUGUCCAAGCCAUCUAGAAAGCACAAGAUUAUGAAAUGACCAUGACCAUGGCCAUGUAAUAGAGAAACUGCACUUGAAAUUACUGUAUUGAAGACCACAUUUUGUUUUAGUUUUGCUAAGAAAUAGUGAAUAGUCAAGCGAAAGUCGAAACACUUCGAAAAAAGGGUCACAAUAAUAAUUUCUCAGUGUUUGAAGACCAGCUCCCAUUCAAUCCCAACCUUCUUGUGAAGUGCCUAUACAAACUAUUGCAAUGACAUCAAAGCUACAAGAUGUGAAAAAAUAUCCUUUAGACUGGGUUCCCAUAAAAAAAUUACUUGCAGCCACUUCUGAAAGUGAGCAAAAUUAUGUGUACACUGGAAAGUGAAGAGAAUAAAGCAAACUCCAACCAAAAACUUCACCUCCAUCGUAUCAGGGAACUCAAUCAAAAAACUAGCUAAGAAGAGGGGAACGAGAGCCAAAUACCUUAAAACGUGCCCCAAUAGAAGAAAAUUUGGAUGACUUCGAAGAUUCCUCUGGUGUGGGAGGAACCAGACCUGCCACAAAUGAGCACUUUGACGCAACCAAAAGUUCUUGAUGUUCUGCCACAACAUAAUCUUUGUUUUUGUCAAGAAACUGGUCUGCUUGAUAUGUUACCUGAAGAAUGUAUAAAAUGGUUAUAAGAAACAGAGCAAAUAAAAACAUAAAAGAACGAACAAAAACAUAGAAGUUAAAGUCAUGUAUACCUCCCCAGCAUAGUGAGAAAUAGUAAAGUCAGUGCGAGAAAGCUUUGGUUUCAAAAAGCGCUUGUUUUUUGUGAAUGUCUGAUACAACUUCUGGGCAAAUGUUUCAUGUGUAGACUUUGGAAACAUGCUGAAAAAAUAAAAAAAUAAAAAAUUCCAUGGUGCAUCAGAGCAAAUACACAAUAAUACCUUUCCAAUAAAGAAUGAACUGUCAUAGUUUAUGCACGAAACAAAAAAAAAAAUUGAGGAUUGCUAUUAGCCUAUUAGGCAACACAUCUUCAGAGUUUGCAUUAAUGUCACUCACUAAAACACACACAAAUGAUCUUCAGAGUUUGCAUUAAUGCCACUCACUAAAACACACACAAUGAGUUGAGACAACAAGACUUGUUCUUAAGCUUCCAAAUAAAAAGAAUCUCGAAACAUGUGUAUUUAGUGACUGGCAUUUUUAAGCAACUCAAAAAGUGUUAAGCUUACUACUCUCUCUUAGAAACUUCACUAUAUUUCCCUCAGUGCAAAGUCAAGAUCAAUUAAGAGCCAUAUGUUCAUACCAAGCUUCAUCCAGAAGUGCAAUGAUUCCUCCAGGUUUCUGCACAAUUAAUGAAGUAUUUAAUUGUCAUGUUAGAUCACAAUGCAAUAGUAUGAGGAGGUAACUACAUGUAAGCAAUAUAGCUUUAUAUAUACUAAUAAGAUUCUAUAGUUAUAACCUUCUCAAUGAGAUCCAACACAUCUUGAUUGUCAACGAACUCUAUGUAGCUCCAAUUAAUCUCUUCUUUAGUAUAUUCUUCUUGUUCCAUCUUAAAUACAUGCUGUCAACAUGAAACCAAUGUAAGCUAAAGUUGAAACUACAAGAAACUACAUGAAUUCCAUAACUGCAGGCAAAGUCAUCUCACCUGGUUGAAAUGUUGUUGUAGCUUCUCAUUUGUAAAAUUGAUACAGAACUGCUCAAAACUGUUAUCCACAACAAUGAGUAAAAAGAUCAUCAAAGCCCAGAUCUUUUAAUAUAUGUUGUUGAAAGUCUAACACACAGCUUCACUAAACUGGACAAUAUCUUACCUAUUACACUUAAAACUUUCGAAACCAUAGAUAUCAAGAACCCCAAUUAUUGAUUUUGAGUUCGGAUCCUGUCCAAUUGAAAUGUUGAUUUUGUCCACCAGCCUAUAACAGAGCAGAAACACAUCUAUAUGAGCAUAACUAAUAAAGAAGCACAAAGUAAAUGCUGUUUGUUAAAAAUUAAAUAUUCAAUGAAAGCAUUUAGAAUAAGAUUUUCUAGUUUUAAGGAUGUAGUAAUUUAUGUAUAAUUUAUAAUUCAACAUGGGUAAUCUAUGUAACAUGGACACUCCGUAUAGUCAAAAAAAUCUGUGUCGGAUACACGGACACUCGACACACGUGUCGGACACACAUGGACACUUGUCGGAUACACUUACAAACUUAUGCACAUGAUUCGGGUUAGAAUUUAUAUAUGAAGAAAAGGAAAGAGACGAGCAAGAAUUUAUCCCUCCAUCAAACUAGAUAGAAAAGAAAAGUGAGAAGAAGAAAUGUUAUGUUCUAUGUCUAAAAAAUGGGUUAUAUAUAAAUCACAAUCUGUAUCCCCGUGUUGACUGGUUUUUGGCACUCCGUACCUGUGUCGGACACCGACACAUGUACCCGUGUCAAUGUUACUUAGGUAAUAAUAUAGGAGAUUGCCAAAUAAAUCAUAUGUAUACCACAAGCUGUACCCAUAUUAUUACCUAGACAGAGAAGACAACCCUUCAUGUUAUAGUUAAUGCUGGUUCAUUGACUGCAAUUUAGUGGUAGCAAAUGUAAGGCUUUGAAAACAGAAUUUCGAAAGACAACUAUCUUCCCAUGUCGACUUAUUUCUUCCAAAUGAUUACCAACAAUCCAGCACAUGCUAACAUUAAAAUAUACCUCUAAAUAACUCCCUACACUUGUUAGUGAACUUUUCUAGGAAAAAACUAAUUUGUCAAAAGAGAAUUUCCCAUUCGAAUUUCAGAAUUUGGCUUGAAAUACCUAAAAUGUCACUAAUCAACGGGUUUUGAUUUUGGUCAAUCGUGAUAUAUCUGGAUAACUGGAUAUGUGUUAUCGACCUUUUUCCUCUUUUAAACAGAGAAGGCAAUAUCAUGGAACUAUGGAAAUUUUGCAGAUAUGUCAUGCCGGGUAUGUGAUUUUCUUACACGCUCAAUAUUUCAGCCCACAUUGUUACAACGAAUCUUACUAACUCAUCAAUUUAGGCACCAACAUAAAAAUAACUUUUAUUGACAAAAGAAAAGUACACUAGGCAUCUAAGAAAAUAAUAUUAUCAAUAUAAUAAUGAAAUACACUAGGCACCUAGAUGUUGUGUAGAAAAAUAAAGUGAACCCACACAUUGGGAUGCUAUUACCAAUCAAACAAACGAGAGUAUAUCGUUUUAGCUAAACCGUCUCUGCUAACAAUGGCAGAAGCAGGGUCAAGAGUUCUUGUAAUAACUUCCUCGGGUGUCACCAUUACACGUCUAAUAAGUGCAUCCUCCAAGCUUUGAGCAUCACACCUAACAAGUAACAACAAAACCAAAACAGGAUCUAAGAGACAACCACAGACAAAUAAAUGCAUUUGAUCAACUAGAAGAAGGAACCUACAUAAGAAGUUCAGCAGUCAUUUUAAGAUGGAACCUAGACUUGUCAUCCUUAAUGACAGAGGAGUCUAUUUCCUUUCCCUUCGCAAAAUCAAUAUUACCAAGAUGAAGAAUAGCAGCGACCACCCUGAAAAUUGCUUCCUGAAGACAACAAAGAUGGUAAGAAAAUGACUAACAUGGUGUGCAUAACAAACUUUAGAAAAAACAUAUACACCAUUUAGCAUUCAUAUGAAGGCUGACCUGUUCUUCUUCACUAAUUCCAACUACAUCCAUAGCCCGCCUUGUCGCUAGAUAUUCAUGGGCAUCAUUUACUCCAUCUAACUCGUAGCAAUUAGAUUGGUUCAGGUAAUGGAAUGAUUUCGGAUUCUCCAGCUUAUAUUUAUUGAUAUCCUGUGCAUUUUAGCCAUGGUUCAUAAAAAAAAUCAUGUUCGUUGAAUCAAAAAAAUGUAUGAGGAUAUACAUAAAAGAAUGAAUAAGAACAGUAGGAAAUAUAGAAUAUGAUAGGGCAUUGAUACCUCAGGUGGUGCUGCACAAAGAAGGUAAAAGCAAUGGUAGUUUCGCUCAGGAUCAGAAAUUUGGCAAACACGAGACCUUUCGAGCAAGUAGGUUCUAACAGCUGCCCCAGAUAUCCUCCCAUUCUUGUCAAAUUGUAUCUCAACAAAUUUACCAAAACGACUUCAUUGCCAUGUAAUGAUGUACACCAAAAGAAAGAAUAAAUAAGUUUCACAGAAAAAUAUAAUGAAUUAGAAUUAGUGCAACAGAGUAAUGAAAUAUACAUAACCAUUCAACUGAAAUAAUUAUUUAAGAUCUAGUAUCAAUUAGAACAUGAUGAGAACUGCUAUAGAACCAGAUAAGCUUCUACGAAAAGCCUUACCAAAGACAAAUACCCACCUUGAAUUGUUGUUCCUAACGGUCUUGGCAUUGCCAAAUGCUUCAAGAACUGGAUUGGACUGUCAUUUUGUAAGAGUAAUAUAUGUCAAAUUUGGUCAAUUCCAUUAUCUAGAAUGUGAAACCUAAGAGAAACCAGACAACUUCAUCUCACCUCUAGAACUUGCUGUUCAACUGUCCUUCCCUCAAUACCAGAUCUCCCUCCCAAGUAUGCAAGGUAUCUCAUCAGCAUCUUCGUCGUUUCUGUUUUACCAGCACCACUUUCUCCACUAACCAGAAUAGAAUUGCUUUUCCCUUCGUUAAUCAUCGCCCUAUUUUAAUAACGAAGAGCUUAGGAACGCAUUAAGACAAGCAUGAUUAGAUUAGAGACUACUAGUGAAAUGACCAGAAUUAACCUGUAUGCAACAUCUGCAACCGCAAAAACAUGAGGACUAAGCUCUCCGAAUGCUGCUCCUUUGUAUUGUUCCAUCAUGUGAUUGUCAUAGAGAUGUGGCAAUCUUUGAAAUGGAUUUACUGCAAUCAGGAUAUUACCAGUGUAUGUCUGUAUCAAUGAGAAAAAAAGUUAGUAUCAUGUGAUUAUCUGAGUCUCCCAGUAUUUUUCCUAUUCUAUCACAAGAAUAGAUCAAUGAAAAGUGGCUCACAUAAAUUUCAUUGAGCUCAUAUCUUGUGGCCAAAUUUUGCAGAACUCCAGGUUCAUGCAAAUAAGAAAGCUUUGUCAUGUCGUCCACGCCACCUGGUGGUGCCUCAGUGUCCUUCGGAAACACUUGUGACAAAUUUGCAACAACCUGAGAAAAAUGCCCAUUCAAUCAGAAUGGCUUCCUAUUGAUAAUUAAACAAAGAAACUAAGCAGAAAAAAUGUCCUGAAAUGAUGGAAUGGAUUUAUCAAAAUAAUUCCGGCUUAGGUUCAAGAUAUACGAAACACCAAAUACUGCAUAUGACUCAGUCUAUUUUUACUGUUGGUUGUUCUUAGUGUUACAGAUGCUCAUUUGAAAUACUUUGGAGAUUUGGACCCUCAUCAGCCAUGACCAAGACUACAUGAACUAUACAUAUGAUCAACGAAUUGAAGUACAUACACACCAGCACACACACACACACACACUAAAGGGCAGUCCUUGUUUAAAGGAAAUGCUUAAAUCAACAUAUGUAACAUUUUAGAAAAGGUAUGCAUUUUUCAUAACUGUUUAAUAUGUUACUACGUAUUUUCUGUAACUAAAUAUUUUCAUAGUUUUACUUAACUUCACAAAUGGUUUCUUACAAAAUUCAUGCUGAGCACUGCCUUUUUUUUUUUUUUUUGAAUAAUCAGCACUGGCUUUAAGUAAUAGUAAAAACUAAAAAGGGUGAGUUUUAAAGUGCUAAAUACAAGACAGAAAGCACACACCAUUUUCCCAUUUGUGGUGCGUAUAUGAACCUCUUGACUAUUGACCCGAAUAACUUCCCCAUCAAUCCAAGCCAAGACAGGAUCCUCAACCCAAACAUGGGAGCCUAUGACAAUGUUAACUGGAGCCGCCUGCAAAGAAAGUAUCAUCAGAAUUUAGAAGGUUAAUAAAAUACAGAACAUUUUAUUCAGAUAAGUAAGAGUUGACUAAUACAAGAAAUGAAAGGCAUAAAGUCAUUCGAAAUGAAAGGAGAAGGAAACGAGGAUUCAUAAUUAUUUUUUCCUGAUUAGGUAGAGGACAAACUUUCGCAUAAAGAAAUACCUAUACCCAGCAACACAACUGGAAGGAUCACUAGCGAGUAAAUCUCUCAUCAGUCACCCCCACCAUCCAUUACAGUGGUGCAACCAUUCAUAAAUGAAGUAGUAGAUAAAUUUACUCCUCAAAAUGCGUAGAAAUAGAAGAGUAUUGCUUAAACUGAUGCAUCACAUCCUAGAAAAGUACAACUCGAGCGCAUUUUAUGAACUCCUAGCAUCUCCUCUUCUUUACACAGCUAAUGUUAGAACUUAAAAGAUACCACAUGGUCAAUGACUACCAUAUAAUCAUGUAUGCCACAUGUUUCUACCAUAUAGAUGAGUCCCUCUCCAGUUCAGUAUCUUCAUGCCAUUUUUUCCACCUCAACUCCGUUCGUACGUCUGCUUUCUCUUAGAUUUCCAAUAUAGCAAUCAUCAUAUAAUUUUUUCCAUUUCGUUUGAAGCCUUCUUACUUUUCGCUCAUGGCUCUAAACUCUCAACUACAGAAUCCAUAUAACUUGUCCAGAGGUUUGUAGCACUUGUGUUGCUGGAGUGGGAAGUAAGCAGCCAUCUAUACCACUACAGGACUGUAUUUUGACCAUUUUAUUCAUUUUCACUUGUUAUUACUACGUUUACUUCAUCACAUAACUAUUUUCAGUAAUAUUCUCACCAAAAGCCCUUUCUAAAGUCUAAACAAUAGAAAUCAGUUAAAGGAUAAUAAGUUGCUUUCUUCAUGUCCGUUUUGUGUGUGUGCACGUAUGUCUCAUAUCUGUUGUAGUGAUGCUGGUAAAAGAAAUUAUAAUUCUGUCCCACAAACCUCAAACAAAGUUCAAAACACAUCUCUCCAAAAUCCUUGCAAACUCCAUGACAAUGUCACUAUCUUGGUUGAAACACAUGUUUUAGUUUUAUCGUUACACACUAAACUAAAAACUCUAUUGUCAACACUUGACUUCCCCCACAUACCCUGAAAUGUUUCUUCAAUUCCAUUAUCUGUUUCUCAAAAUCUCUUCCAUAAACUCUCUCUUCAAUAAAUUUAAUCUAAUUUGCACUACUUACAACAACAAAACCAAUCACCGCUUACUUAAAUUGAAAACUAAAAUAAACAAAAACACACAGUAAUAAAACUUCAAAGUUCAAACAACAAAUUGAAUAAAUUAAUCAAUCAACCAAAACUAAAGAAAUGAAUUAGGGUUUAAACUAAUUACCAUCAAGUGUUUAUGUAUUACAAAGAAGACGAUCUUCUUCUUUGUUCUUCUUCUUCUUGUUUAAACUUCUUCUGAAUCAUCAAACAAUCAGAACUCAAUAAAAGAAAACAAGAACUCAACUCAAUAACUCAGAUCGGAAACAAUAGAUUCAAAGCUAUUAACAAGAUUUGAAAGAAGACGAACAAGUUUGGGAAAUGUUUUUACAGGUAUAUAAGUUUGUUUGUUUGUUGUUUUCUCUCUCUCUUUCUUUCUUUCUUUUUCUCUCUCUUCGGUUUUUAUACAAAGAAGAAGUAAUUUGAAUAAACUCUUUUAGUUUAAGCUGUUGUUAUUUGUUGUUAAAUCUUCUCUGUAAACUGUGAUUUCUUUCUUUCUCUCUCUCUCUAAUUUCAAAGUUGUCUGUCUGGUCAAGUGGUGGUCAGCAACUCUUUUAAGCUGUUGUUGUUGUUGUUCAAAGUCUCUUUGUCUUCUAAAAGACGUGACGAGAAGAAGAGAAAAUGAAUUUUUAUUUACUAUUUUAAACUUGUUUUGAGUGUUAUUUACGUUAAAUACCAUUUGUAUUUUAAAAUUUUCAAAAUUUUAGUUCCGUUGUAUUUUUUUUUUUUUUUUUGGAUAAAUAAACGGAAAUAAGGAAAUUAUUUGGGUUUAAAUGUGUUAAUAGCAGUUUUGAUUCUCUGUUUGGCUUAAUGAAGUCUAAGACUCAAGAAUCUCACAUUUCUUUUUAGUGCUAAGUGUUAAUUUACAACUUGCGGCGAUAUGCCGCUAAUGGAUUCUGUGAUUGUAGUGUUUUUUAGCCCACAUUAUCAGUACCACAUAGCCCAACACUCCAACGAGCACCAUAAGUUGGAUGUGAUUAUUUAUUUUCCAUAUUCUAUCAUUAAUGGAAAACAUAAAAGGCAUGGCAUAGGUAGAAAAUGGCUUAAUGGAAAACAUAAAAGGCAUGGCAUAGGUAGAAAAUGGCUUUUAUGUCACUAAAGUUGUAAUUUGGAAAAAAAUGUGAAGAUUAUUUGGCGUUAGGAUGUUUACAGAACUGAGUUAGUAGCAUUUUUUAUUUUUUUUAACAAAAUAGGACAAACGGAAAUCCAUCAAAAACAUUGCUGGCGCGUUAUGUUUUUGCUAAAUUCUAGGAGUAAAUUAUGUAAGAAAUGAUCAGUACACAUGUAUCUAGCAAAAUACUUCUCAAACAAAUUGUAUCCAAUGAAUAUCUGCCAGCUUAGCUUAUCUAUGCUAACUAAAAUACAUCUGCUGUAGUUGAUCAACAUUUCCUACUUUAAGAAAUGAAGCUGGGUUGAUUUCGCACGUGUGGCCAAAGAACCAAAACUGCUCCGUUUUUCAAUACCCAGACACAAAUAUCCUCAGUUCCUCACCACACCAGAUUUUUGGAUGAGGGUAAUUUUGUCAUUGAUGAUAUAGCCUCACCAGUAGUUAUUACUGUACCUCCAAAUUACAAGGUAACAUCAAUGGUAUUGUUUACUAGAUACUUGACAAAUAAAGAAAGGAACCAACACAAUUGCACAAAGUUACAUAUACAACCUUCAACACCAGAGGCUUUUCGUUGUUAUUCCUCGAUCACCUUAUGAUUUCUCUAGCAUUUUUAACAGACUCCUCGACAUCAAGCCGAUACUGCUUUAAAAUUGCUUUCCAUGCUUCCUCAGAAUUUUGUUGGGCUUUUAUGUAGGCAAGCUCCUUCAAAUUUAUGUUAAAUUAUUAAAAAAAAAAAAAAGUUAAUGUAUAUUCACUUACUCGAAUAAUUAAGGAAUACAAUACCAAGCAACAUGCAAACAAAGCCAUCAGUAAAAACCUAAAUGAGUAACUUCACACGAAAUAGCCAAUACUGCCUUGAAGUUUCUUUCCAUGCUUCCUCAAACUUCUGUCUGGUGUAGGCAAGUUUCUUCAAAUUUACUGUAAAUGUAAGUAAAUUUGGGCAAAGGUUGGUCGAAGAAGAAGAUCGGAGAAUUGAGGGGGAGGAAUUGAAGUUAUGAAAAUGGCUGAGCUAUCUGAUCUAGAUAGUUGCCUACGUAUCUGAGAGUGACCAAGUCCCAGAAUCAAGCCUACGUAGUUCAUAUUUAUAGGUGAUUGGGACAACGGAUAGCUCAUUAAUUGCCCAACGGUGUGGUCAAUUAAUGGGCGGAUAUUGUGGAUCUGAAAAUAUAUUGUAACUGAAGAGAAUAAGUGUGUGGAGUAAGGGUGAGCUCGGAGUGAGGUCGAGCAGGAUAAGCCCCAGCUCGAGUGAGCUCGAGCAAAAGGGUGUUCACGUCGUUUGACGACGAAUGAAUAAAGAAUCUAAGCCGGGUCAUGAAGGUUUUAGUGAGCUCGAGGUGAAGUCGAGUAAAAAGGUGUUCACCUCGUUUGACGUCGAAGGUGUAUAAAUUGUGUUCAAAGUGGUCGCUUAAGUGAGCUCGAGGGAGCUCGAAUACAUAGGUAUAUACAUUUACCUUCAAUUAUUAAGAAAAGUAGGUCAUGUAUAACCCGAUAAGGAACACAAUACCAAGCAACAGUAAAAAAAAAAAGUCGAUAAAAACUUGAAUAUGUAACUUCACAGGAGACAACAAAAUUUCCUGGUAAUCAAAAGCGGAAAAAUGAUUGAUUUUAAGCUCCAAUGUCUGCAUUUCAUCAAGAACUUGCAUGAUCUGUGUUUUCAAGUUUUAAGUGCUACAGUACAAAAAAAAAAGGAUGUGAGAUCAAAAUUUGAACGAUGUGUAUCACAAUCUAACUCCUCCCUACUGAUCAAACUAGGACAGAAAACCCACCUCUAAUUUGUUACGUUCACCCAACACCUUCACUGUUUUUUUUUAUGCGAUUGUCAAUUUGUUUCAAUACAUAUUAUAUCUCAAUACACGUACACAUAGAGCAAGGAAAAAAAAUGCAUAUAAGACAUUUCUUCUCAAUAGUUUAACCAAAUGAGUCACUAUAGUUUUCUACUUGACGAUAUAUAGGGGGCGAUAACGCGUUACUUUCAAAAGCUCAACUAUAUAACAUCGAUCUCUUCAAAAAAAAAUUACCUCGACUCUCAAGAUACCUAUAGACAUACAGUAAAUAAAAUUUGUCAAAUCAUUUGUUGUAUGUUUGCAUAGUUGGUUCUUUUGCUAUAGGCCAUGCAACAAAUUUAAUAUGAGUAAAAAGGUUAAAUAAAGAUGAGAAAAAAGAUUUGUCAGGAUCGAAAUCAUUGAGAAAGUAUCAACUGAUGUGAUACAUAUACCUCCAAUAAUUUAAAAAGAAAAAAAGAAAAAAAAUCAAACAAUGAUAAACCAUCAAAUAUAAAAACAAAAAAAAAACGAAGAAAAAUUUAUUCUUCCAUAUAACAGGAAAAAAAAACUCAUUAGAUUGAGAAAAGAAGAUAUAUUAGAAAACAUAUAUUUGGAGAGGUAUAUUUGGUGAGGGGAAUGAUGGGGGAGGGCUCAUUAAAAAAAUAAAAAAUGAGAGGAUUAUUUAUAAUUAAAUAGGGGUUACAAAUAAAUAUGAUCUAUUAAUAAAUAAGGGUUACACUAACUAACCAACUCUUGUAAAUAAGGGUUACAAAUCUAUUAAUAAAUAUGCCCAUUUAUUAUUGGUAUUCAUUUUUGUAAUUAAUAUUACAUAAGAUUCUCUCCAUCCUAUGGCUACAAUUGUCUUAACAGACAACUAAAGGAUAGGAUCGAUUUUCCACAUCUAAAAGUUAUUAUUACAUCGAUUAUAUAAUUUAAUAUACAUCCAAUGGUUAAAGUUAUCUCCAUAGACAUCUAACGACUGUGUUUAUGAAACCGCUUUGUAAUAUUAUAUAGAUAGAUAGAUUGAAUGGUGUUAUGGUGGUCUGUCAUAUGAAGUUAUGAACUAUUGUUGUUGAACACUUUGAACGUUUCCUACUACUGGAAUUGGUACGUGUAACAUUGGAGACUGGAGAGGACUUUUUAAUGCGAGGAGGUGAACUUGCGCCGAAAUAAGAAAAUCCACGAGUAAUGAGCUGAUGGCUUGAAAUGAGUGUCAUGGGCCUUUCACAUUGUUUUAGCCCAACACUUUUUUUUGCCAAGUAAAUAUGUUGUGGUAAGCCUGUUUUUAAUGAGAUCGGUAACUCGGUAAUGCUGACGGGAUUCAAACCCCAGACUUCUGGUAUCAUCACCCAAAGGUUUUACCAGUUUAGCACACGGGUGCAAUGGAACCUGCAGGUUUUACAUACUGUUCUCUCUCUCUCUUUCUUCACGCGGUAAUGUUCCCAGUCAGUACUCAAUAGAUCUAGGUCCUGACGACCAUAACACCUGCCGGAAACAGUGACUGGCCGGAGAAGGAACUUGGUCCUUUCUGUAACACUGUAUUAUCACUAUUAUGUUUGACGAAGUUUAUCAGAAAAAAAUUAAAAAUUUCUCUUCAAUCGUUUUAAUGUUCACCCAAUAAUCUUAAGUGACGUCUGUCAAGUUUAGGUCUUUAAUCAACUCUUUUUUUUCCCGUCCUUAAACUAAUUAUUCAGGUCAAAUUUAGCCAAACCCACUCAUGAAGCACAGCGAGAAGAGUUUUUAAUGUAAUAGUGGUUACAUCUCACUGUCACAUGGUUAGUGUUAAUCAGAAGAGAUAUAUUGGAAAGAGAUCAAUCUCAUCAAAUGAGCAAAAUAACUUUUAAUAUAAAUAUUUUAAGAUUACGAUGAUCAACCAAUUUUAUUCUGUUAUUUUCAGGCAAAAUAGUGACCCUAGAAGUGGAUUUGAUACAGUUAAAGACCUACCCGGCUACCCGGCCGGGGGAUUAACGCCCAUGCUUGGUGAUAGAAAGGUCAGUCUCUCUUCUCUCUCUCUCUCUCACACACACACACAUUAGAAAGCUCAUGACGUGAUCUAACUGUCUUUCUUUUGGUCUUUGAGGAUGUUCUCAUGGAGACGAACCAUUAAUUUUAACAAAACUCGACACUUGUCUAUAAUUAGUUAUUUUGCUCUGGUCUUUCCCUGUGUGGUCUUUAGGGUGUUUGACAUUGUCAGAACUUAAAAUUAUUUUUGGCACAGUUUUUGUAGGUUUUCUUAACGUAACACUGAGUUCAAUAAUAGUGUAUUAUUGGUGCUCUCGUAUCUUUAUCAGAAAAGUGCGACAAGUAUUUUACUUUGCAUUGAUUCUUAACGUAACAUUCCAUAUCUGGCAAUUUUGGUGUUUUAAAUCAAGGUGCAAAGGAAGGUGUUUUUCCAGUCUAAUUUGAAUGCUAUGAAGUAGAAAACAGGAGGAAUGACUCCGUGAGUCCUUGGGUAGAGGAAAAAGUGAACAGGCCGGGAAGAAACAUGCCUCGUGAAUUAGAAAUUUUAAAAGAAAAAAAAAUGAAGCUAUUCAUGAUUCAAUGGAACAUCCCUUGAAGAUUAUACAAUUUUCACUAAGAAAUUUUUACUUUUUUUUUGGUAAUCAUGAGGAAAUUUAUUCUUAUACGAUUUCAACUUGUCUGUAAGAAUAGGUAAAAUUUGCAGCAAUCGUCCAUUCACCUCAUAGGACUAGGAGCUUGAUUGGCACACUACAAAAUUUGGAAGAAUAAGGUCUUCUAUCCAACAAUUAACAAAUUUUUUCCCCAGUGGAACAUACAUGUUUUCCCCUAGUAACAAGUACUAAGCCUAUUUAGACUCAACUUGGACUGGAGUCUUGUUUGAGACUAAUUUGAAUGACAGUUUGCUUUGAUACUGCUAAGUCUUUAACCACUGCUUCGCGAAAAGCUAAGCUCAUAAUUGUUUAUGAGCGGAAACUACAGUAUGUCAGUGUCGCUUAAUGUUGAUAUCACAACGAGGUUUCCAUUACUGAUGGUGGAGCACCUGUGAUUGCCUACUGCAUCCAAGUAGCCUGCUGCUUAUUUAUUUUUAUUUUUCAUGAAGUUAUAAGAUAUAUAUACUGUUCUCAAAAAAAAUUAUUUUAUUUACAACCUGUCGCAAUGUUGUAACUACAAAGGUAUAAUAGAUACAGAAAAGGCUUUGUACACUAUAUUUAGUGCCAAGUAAUUUCACCUUCCUCAAGAUCUGCAUUGUCGUUUUCCAGAUUGAUUUCACCUUCCUCAAGAUCUGCAUUGUCGUUUUCCAGAUUGACAUUGGCACUGCAGUUCUCCACUUCAACAACCUGACUGCAGGUUUCAAGUUCCUCCUGGUCUUCCAGAUAUUCAUCUUUCAUGAACAGACCUAAUCUUUCCAAAGUAUUAUCAUUGUGAACUAGAAAAUAAUCUCGUUCUGAACAUGCCCCCAGCAUCUCAAGAUCUUUCCAAAUUCCCCAGUUUUCAUAAAUUUCCACAGUCCUCUCCAUCUUCUGCAGUGCAAUACGAGCUGCUUCUCUCUCCCUCUCCCGCUGCAUCUUCGAUUCCAUCUCUUCUCUCAUUCUGGAGGCAGCUUCAGCAGCUCGAAUUUGGGCUUCAAUUCUUGCUUGCUCUUCACGUUGUUGCUUUUCCAAUCUUUCCUUUUCUCCCUUCAUCAUUACUGGAUCACUCUUCCCACCAUUGUUCAAGAGAAUUUUGUGUUGUGCCUUUACAAUGGUGUCAGCAAACCGGCUCCUCAACAUUGCAGCACGGAGAGCCUUGCUUGGAGAUAAAUGUCCAUUACAUAGACUAUUUUUCCACCCUUCAUCCAAAGCAGCAUCAUUGCAAGGAGUUGAAGAAGGAGAACUAGGAUGACAAUUGUCUUCAUCAAUGACACAAACAUCACUGCUUGAGAAGCUGUUCUGAUGACCGACACGGGUAUACGUGCUUUUGCAAGAACCAUUCAAGCAUGCAGAACUCGUCCUUGACUUGUAACUGACAGAAACAGAUGCAUGUCUAGUACUAUCACCAAUUCCUCCAUGGGGGUACUUCUGUGAAGAGUUCUGUCCACUACUGUGUUGUGUAUGAGCAGAUUCUACAGGUCUUGAAUGAUGGCAACUCCUCAUGACUUUUUGCAGCUUUGCUUGUGUUGUAUGACUAUCUUGUUUCAUAUUGAGAGUUGUACUUGAGCUUUCAUCAGAAUUCAGCUGCUGUGUAGACUUAUUGGAGUCGAGAACCUUCCACUUUGAUUCAAAUAAUUCACUCAAUUCCUUUGCAACAACAUGAAAAUAGUUCGCUGGAGGAUUAUAUAACAUUGCAUUGUUAAAAGUUAAUCUGACAUCCGCCGCAAAUUCUCCAGUCUUCAUGUAUAGCUUUUUUUCCAAUUUGGAUUUAAUUGUACCCAAAUCCAUUGGUUCAGAGAUAAAAGAAAAGUAAUCUGGAAUAUUCAUUGCAACUGGAUCAACAGGAUUUCUAAAACCCCAAGCACGCCUAUCGUUUAUCAACUUGUUCAAAAGUGCCAAACAAUGCACCAUCACCUUACUGUCUAUCUUUUGCUUCUUAUUAACCUGUUGGGUUUCCAACUUUGUUACAGGUCCACGCUUGUUACUAGAAUGCGAAACAGAAGGUUCCAUAGAAAAAACGUUUUUCACAUAAGAGGAAAAAACCACAUUUGAUCUAUCUAGUUCUGAAGAAAGGAUUUCAGUUUCUGAACAUACCUUAAUCUUAAGUGAGGGUUGUUGCUGCAAUAACUUCAGUGAUGAUGAACAUGAACUGUUCAUACUUAUCGAUCGACUUGCAGUUGCAGAGACCAUAAUGGUUCACUUCUUUAGACACAACAACAACAACAACAAAGAAAUUGAAGAAACAGAUCUUCUGAGUGAAAAGUGAGAGAAACCAAGAGAUAUUAUAUAGAGAGAUGUGUUGUAGUAGUAGAAGAAGAAGAAGAGGAGAGUGAUUACCCUGUUCUGUUUCUAAAUUGAGAAGGUAGGGGUAUAAUCGGUAUUAAAUUAUUUAUGAUAUCCGAAUCUAAAUCGGUUUCUUAUAUCGGUUUCCUAUAUCGGUAUCACCAUAUCGGAUUGUUGUUUUAUAAAUUUAUGCAAAAUGUAAUUAAGGCGGUUCUCUUUCUUCUUUUUCUUUUUGAUUUGAUUACUUAUUCUCUUUGGUUUAAUCUAAAACCCUAAUUCCAGAAAACAAAAGAAUGGCGACAGAAGAAGCAAUCAUGGCGGUAAUUAAAGCAUCUCGCCCAACUUUUCGUAAUCCACAUGAUAAGAUCGUUUUCGCUCUUCACUCAACUUUCCUUGCUUCGGGAUACUCACUUGUAGCUACUGGACUGCCAGCUUUUUCUGAAACUGUCUUCUCCUCUCCUCCUGAAGGUAUAUCUAUGAUUUAUCAACUCUUUUUCUUCAUAAACUAGUUGUUGUUAUAAAGAUUGAAGUUUGAAAUGGGAUUUUUUUUUUUUUUGUGGAUUUUUGUAGAGGAAGUAGGAAUUGAUGGUUGGAAUGAAACUGAAGAUGGUUAUGGCUUUGUAUAUACCAAGAAGGAAAAGGGUUUGAAGAAUACUGUGAUAUUGAAGUGUUUGAUGAUGGGAGAUAACUUGAUAAUUGAUGCUUUAUCUACUAAGACUCAAGAUAAGGAACCUAGUAGUCUUCAGAUCAAGUGAAUUACCUUUCACUAUUGUUCAGCUAUUUGAUCCCUAUAAGAUGAAUUUUAAGAAUAAAUUAUUUGUAUGGAUUUUGUAAAGGGGUUUUUGAUGAUAUGAUUCAAUUGGGGUUUGGUUCUUGCAGUGUUAAUAGCUAUGAUGGAGGAAAUGAAAGCACAAACUUUGGUGAUCGGUAUAAGGAUUUUACAAAGCUUGUGAAGGCUUUCAAGUCGGAAAUUCUGGAUAAAGUGGAGGACAAUCCUGCAGUGAAAAGCACUUCUGCAUCGUCUAGGUAUAUUAUAUAGUACUAGUUCUUUUGAUAUUGUAUACUAUGGAAGUAGUUGGUAGCAGUGGUGUCUAGUAGUGGUUGUUGGUUUAUUACCUCAAAACGGCGUUUGUCCAUUUUGAUAAAAAUUUAAAUAUAAAUGUAGCUGGCAUUUUGUGUAUGAGUAUUUAAAUUUGAUUUCUUAUGUUCAGUUAAUGCAAGUUUUAAUUAGAUGGCUAGUGAACUAUAAAACACUGACGGUAUUAGGGGACAGUGUUUGGAUGACUGGUGCUUUAUCAUGAUGUGAUGCUUCAUGUGAUCUAAAUUCUUCUUUCUAGUAUGUGGCAGGGCUUCAGUAUCCUUGCUGUUUCUUACUUAAAAGACGUGUGAAUUAUGAACUGAUUUUAAAACUAGACCUGUCAAGUGUCAACAUACCCAACAGUUUGAGGCGUUUGAUACAUUGACUCGAAUAGAUGUAGGAUGGUUUAGUCAAAGUACUCUAGGAAGCACCCAAGCACAAUUAAAGUGUCCAGUUGAAUGUUUAAAUGUUCUAUUAGUUUCAAGAAGAUCCUAGUUGUCCAUUAAUCUGGUCUCUAAAUGUGAUGAUCCGAAACCGCUAUACAAAACUAUUUCAUUUUACAAUCGGAUGUUAUGUUUAUCUUUGUAGAACGGUUAUACGGUGGGGACCGACUUUUAGUUUGUGUUUUUUUUUUUUGUAUAUAUGUUCUUUUAACAAGAAAAUGUGGUGAAAAUUAAUAAACUCUUCUAGACAUUUUAAAUUAAAAGUCUGAUCCGCCUAUACUGUAAAGUAUGUCGUCAGAUAAGCAUGUUUGCUGAGAGGUGAAUCAGGUUUUCACUAUGCACGUCUAAAACCAAAUAAAAAGAUUACAAGAUAUAACAAACAGUAAGUUUCUCACGGCAGCAGCAGCAUGUCCCAGUUUGCCAGCACUUUUUCUGAAACUGUACUCCUUGUAUAUGCUAGAACCACCUAUGUAGAAGACUAGAACCAUAGAAGAGCCUUGACUUGAUCACAGACUUUGUCAAGUCUAAGCUGAAAAUGCUCGGAAAAUGGCGUCAUAAAAGAACUUGUGACCGUUAGGGUUGAUCUUAUUCUGGCAGUCCCUAAGCAAGAAAGAGUGCAUGUUCAGGUUGUCUGGGUGACUACCAAAAGGAGCUAGUACUUGAACCUCACUAAGCAAUGUUAUUCAUCCAGUGAGUGAAAUUUUUACACUGAAGCACUUCUAAUAUCCUGGAAAUCUUAAGGACACCUUUACAGGAUGGUUGUUUGAGGCUUUAGAUACAUUGACUCAAAUAGAUGUAGGAUGUUUUAGUCAAAGUACUCUAGGAGCACUAUUUGUGAAUGACAUUAGAUGUUCUGCUGUUUAUAUUUGAUAUAUAAUUGAUUAUAUAUUUAUAUGUAAGUGGCAAUUUUGAGAAUGUGGAACAUUUUAUUUUCGUCGUUAAGCCAUAGUGUGAGUUGUUUUCAACACCUUUAUGAUGAGAAAAUGGUGCGGUGUUCAUCAGGAUGUAAUCCGUAGCCUAGUGUGGUAUUGGCUUAUAGAAGAGGCAAGAAAACAUACUAUAAAGCCUGUUGAAGAUGCCUUCCCUAUUUUAAGGCACCUAAUUAUGUUGAAGAUCCCUUUCCUUCCAGGAGGGACAUUUAAGUCCUAAGAUUUGCUCUAUACUAUUGAGGUCAGAACUCAUGUUACCCAUGUGCCUGGCUAUUUGGUUGCCAGACAAUAGAACCCAAAGAUAGUAAUCGAGCUGAACUCAUUUUACCACUAAAUACAACAGGCUCAUCAAUGUAAUGUUGUGUCUAACCAGUUCCUUUAUCUGCAAAGUAGCCAUCUGUUUUUAUGGUGCCCUUUGGUGGAGGCUCCCAUAUAAUAAUAUUAACCUUAUCUGAUUUGCUCAUUUAGUGAACCCAUACAACUUGAAAAUUUGAUACUUUUUUCAUAACUAUAUAUGAGGCGUACGAAACUAAGUAAGAUAUAUGUGAAAUUUGGUGCUGCUUCUGAAUGUGAUUUAGUUGAUAUCUUUAUUUGACCAAAUGUUUGUGUUUUGGCAGGCCCGAACAGGAACGGAAUCAGAAUCGACCUGAGCAUGACAUUUAUGAACCAUAUUCUCCUUCGGGGUAAAUCAUUUCCUCUCCUAGCUAAUGUUUUUAUAUUAUUCCCUUUUCUGGUGGAAACACACACGUGUACCAAAUAUUUUGAUGUUUAUACCUUUGUAUGUUUGCAAGCUCCUCACUAUCUAUGCUUAUAUGAGUUUACACUUUACAUGCUAUCUUAUCUCGUGUUCAUUUAUCCCAACUUUCUAAAAUUACUUCCAUUGGAAAUUUGGUUGCGAAUUAGUGUUUUGUCAUGUCCAGUAAUGCGUAGUUACUUCACCCCCUUUCAUAUUGAUGGAAUGUGCUUUGCAAGUCAACUAAAUGAACAACAAUGUUCUUGAUUUGGCAAAAUGGCUGAAUAACAAUUCACAGUGCUUUUAAGUCUGCGAGUGAAGGCACAAUCUGACAGGAGUUAUCAAAACUUUAAGCAUUUUCUGGACUUUGCAGCAACACUGUUUUCAAAUCAGGCUUAAAUAUGCCUAUUGCAAUAUUUAUAGAUUUCUUUGAAGUGGUUCAUAGAUUUCAAAUCAGGCUUAAAUUUGAAGUGGUUCAUAGUUGCUUUUGCAUAAUUACAUCCCAUUUUAAAAAUAACAUUAUUCCAUUGCAGCUCUAUAACCAAAAUAAACCUAAAAUCACAUCACACGUAAAGUACAUCUCUAGGAUGCUUUUGGUAUUGCAGACGGAUGUAUAAUCUUGAGCAUCUUCUAUGUAAAUGCGUUUUUCUGUUGUCAAUUAGUAGUUAUUAUUUUUGUGGUUCACUUAUUUGUUUUGUCUGGGUGUGUUAGUUUUGAUCUCCCUCCUGUGGCGCCUUUCCCUUACAGUGAUAGAAUCCCACUGCCCCCACCUGGAACACAUCCCAGGUUUUUCUCUUGGCUUGUAUUCAUUAAGUAUACGUCAGUUGGAAACUGGAAAGUUUAAGCUAACUGUUUUCGUUUACAUUAUCUUACAGGGGAGGUCCUGACAUUGGUGGGCCCAUGCAUAUAGGUAUAUGAUUCUUCAUCUCUGUUUUCCUUUUUUUCAUUGUUUUACAUACUAAAUUCAGGUGGCUCAUCAUUUUUUCGUGUUGUGAAAACAGGGCCUAAUGAUCCACGCUGGCUUUUACCUGGUGGUGGUCGUCCUGGUUUCCCAGAUAUCCCUUCGUAAGUCCUGAAUUGAAGUUUGAUAUUUUUUUUUAUUCGAUCUUGAUGACUGAAACUACCCGCGUAGUCACGUAGAUGUCUUAUGUUAUAUCCUUAAGGACAGAAGGCCGUCCCACAGUGAAGCAGGUUAUUCUGCCUGCUUGACGUCACUUUCAACUCUAUUGAUCAAUAGACAAUAGUCAAUUUUCUAUUGAUAAAACCACGUGUCCUGCCCUAUUCGGUAACACCUACUUGUACCUUCACAUGUCUGAAACUCUUAAUGGUUUUUUAACUUCUAUAUAUACUUAAAAACUAAAUGGGUCCCACAGACUAAUUAAGGUGGGUGUAGCGUGUGUAAAUGAGUCAAGCUUUGUAAGUUACCAGAAUGGUAAAAGUCUUCCACUAAACAUGGGGAAGAUACUGUAAAUGGGAUCCACAGACUAAUUAAGGCAUGUGUAGCAUAUUUAAAGGUGUAAACAAGUCAAGCUUUGUUAGUUAACCACAAUGUUUAAUGGAAAAGUCUGUUUCUAAUGUAAGUUACCUAUGUGCAUUCCAUUAGUAUCUUAUAAUCCUGUGCAUAUUUGAACAGGGGCGUACCUCCAGGUGGUCGCUUUGAUCCCUUUGGCCCUCCUGGUGUUCCUGGUUUUGAACCUAACCGUUUUGGAAGGUAGUUCUCUAAUUCGUACAUUAUCUUCUGGUUCAAAAAGUUAAAUGGUGAAAAGAUUGGAAACGACACACAAGAUUGCAUAACAAUUAUAUCAAUGAAAGAAGUACUUGCUUAGUUCUACUUUUGUGAUGCUGACUAUAAGACUAUAUCAUGAUACACUACUUAUAAAGUAAGCAUGGUUCUGAUUUAACACUCAAAUUCCAUGAUUCUAAUCAUCUAAUGUGGUGUGCAAAACUUAUUUAAAUGGUUUUUUAUCUUUGAAGCAUAGAAUCUUUAUUUUGAUACUGCCAAAAGGAAAAAAGUUAGAUUGACAAGUGUAGGGUUCUUAAGACCAUGGCAACAGAGACUUCAAAACUUUUCAGCGACGCUGUUCUUAUAGUAGUGUCUAAAUUAGGCAUGGCAGUUCAUCUUCCAUUUUACAUCACUGUGUAUAUAUCGUGGUCCUUUAAAUCUGUUGCUUCACAGUUGUAAAGUACGGCAAUAAGGAGAUAAGAUGAUGAUUUGGGUAUUUGGAAAAUGGACAUGUUUAUAUUGUCUUGAAAUGUUCUGGCCUACACAACCUCUUCUUUAUUUGGUAUCGUGAUGUUGCUGCAGCUUUUUCCCAGUUCAUUUUUAUAUAUUUUCUCUUGAUUGUCUUUUUUGUAGAAAUCGACCUAGGCCCGGUACUCAUCCUGAUUUGCAACCAUUUGGAAACCCGGAUGAUUAUAUCUAGUGGAGGCACUGGUUCUUGAGGGAUCCUAUUUUAGUUUUGUUCCUUUAGUCUGGAGUUAAAAUAUUUUUGUAAAGUUGUAUUUUUCAUUUUAUAUGUAAAUUUGUAAUGGCUGAACCUGAGAGCCACAUCCGAGACCAUCCGACAAUGCCCUUCACCAUCUGUUGUUUUUUGUACAUUAGUUCUAUGUGUAAUGAUUACAACCAAAACUACUUUUAAAUAAUGGUUUAGCCGUUUAGGCACUUCUGCAUGCAAUGGGUAUGUUUAAUACAAUGGUGCUUGGUCUUGUGAUGAGAUUCAGUGGAUGAACUUGUCUGAUCAAGGAAAAUCAUUUUGGGGAACUACUUUAGUUAUUAAAACGACAGUCCUGAAUGACAAAUGUAUCCAGGCCAGCUUGUGCAUUUUUGAUUGUGGAAGAUAUUUUGGAGAGGAUAUUACAGCACAUAUCAAAUGAGUAUCUUUGGUUUUGAUUGGCAGUCAAUGUAACUUGUGUGAUAUCUAUCAGAUAGGUACCAUGUCUUUUGUAUAAUCCAUUUUAACAGUAUACGGACAAGAGGAGUAUUUUAUAUGAAUGAUUAUACCUAUGGGUCGCAUUUACAUGAUACGGAGCCCUUUUCCCAAUCUUUAUAUACAUACUUUGAUUUUGUAUUAGUCCGUAACGAUGUAUGGGAGACUGGGAGUGCAGGUUGUGCCAGGAGAUCUGGAAAAUUGGACUCCCACUAGAACUUUAUUGCGUUGCUAAUGAAGAGCCUUGUUGUAUGGAAAUUGGACUUCCACUUAAAAGUAAGUUGUAGAAUUCUACAAAUAAACGAGGCAUUGGAGAAAAUUAAAUAUUGGUCAUAUUUCUUAAAUUUUAGAAGGUAUACUGGUGGUAUGGGUUUAGAAAAAGGAGGAAUGAGGCACCAUAAGAGCAUCUCUAAUGGGUCUCUUAUAUCUAAUCUAUCCCUAACCAACGUGGAACUAUUUUAUUUUUAUUUUUUUGUUCCGAGCCCUAAACCCUAAACCAAGCCCAACCAAACGAAGCCCAGCAAAAAAAAAAAACUUCCACGCUGAACCAGCGUGGAAGAUAGAAUUAUACCAAAAAAAAACCAUGCGCGUUAGGGAUACCCCUGAUAUAGGUUUGGACGACGUGCUAAAUUUUUUUUUAAGAAAGUACGUGGCACCUAUGUGGAGGCCAUAACUGUCUAUGUGUCGUCCAAAUAUAUGAGACCCAUUAGAGAUGCUCUAAAGUAAAUUGGAGGAAUGAGGCACCAUAAAGUAGAUUGGGGAAUAAUUAUAUGAGAUUUUUGGACAUACCCCCAUUUAAAAGUCGAAAUUUGAGAUAUCCCUAUUUAAAAAAAAAAUUGAGAUACCCCAUUUCAAGACAGAAGAGCUUUACGGCCGUAGGUGAGUUUUAUGAUGGACAUAACACCCCCCCCCCCCCCCACACACACACACUUUUUUUUUUGUGGCAAGAUAUGGGGAGAGUAUUGUUCCGCAUUCUUUGAAGAGUGUGGAACAAAUUCGCACUCUAGCUUUUACCCUCGAUAUAAUAGGUGUCGAAUUUGUGUGUCAUUUUUUUGAAAAGUCUUACAAUUUAUAUAUGCUCAUAUGCUGGUCAUGGACUGGAUGUCUGGAUGACUCAUGGUCACCUGAUCCGAAAUACCGACCUACUACUUGAUUCACCUGGGCAUAAAAGAAAGCCUAAAACCCUUUCCUCUCUUUCCUUCCCACUCUCUUCUUUCUCAGCAACAACAACAAACAACAACUAUCAAUCAUGGCCGCGUGUUCUCUUUUCCAAGCUUCUCCUUCUUCAUUCAUUUCAUCCAAAUCCAAAUCUUUCUCACAAAACCCUAAAUCCCCAAACCACUUAUUCUCCAUUAAAGCUUGCAAUUCAUCUUCAUCUUCAUCUUCAUCUUCAACUCAAUCUACAUCUCCACCAUCACCACAUCGUCGUCCUGCUGAUGAAAACAUACGAGAAGAAGCUCGUCGUCAUAGAUCUUCUAACCAUAAUCAUGGUUUUUCAGCUAAGUAUGUUCCUUUUAAUGCAGAUCCAACUUCAACUGAAUCAUAUUCACUUGAUGAAAUUGUUUAUCGAAGUCGUUCAGGUGGUUUAUUAGAUGUUGAACAUGAUAUGGAAGCAUUGAAGAAAUUUGAUGGACAAUAUUGGAAAAGUUUAUUUGAUUCACGUAUUGGGAAAACUACUUGGCCUUAUGGAUCUGGUGUUUGGAGUAAGAAAGAAUGGGUUUUACCUCAAAUUGAUGAUGAUCAUAUUGUUAGUGCAUUUGAAGGUAAUUCUAAUUUAUUUUGGGCUGAAAGAUUUGGUAAAGAUAUAUUAGGUAUGAAUGAUUUGUGGGUUAAACAUUGCGGGAUUAGUCAUACUGGUAGUUUUAAAGAUUUGGGUAUGACUGUUUUAGUUAGUCAAGUCAAUCGUUUGCGUAAAAUGAAUCGUCCUAUUGUUGGUGUUGGUUGCGCUUCCACUGGGGAUACUUCUGCUGCACUUUCUGCUUAUUGUGCUGCUGCUGGGAUACCUGCUAUUGUAUUUCUUCCUGCUGAUCGAAUUUCAAUGGCGCAGUUGGUGCAACCGAUUGCAAAUGGGGCAUUUGUUUUGAGUCUGGAUACGGAUUUUGAUGGGUGUAUGCAGUUGAUUCGAGAGAUUACAGCUGAGUUACCUAUAUAUCUUGCAAAUUCUUUGAAUAGUUUGAGGCUUGAAGGGCAGAAAACGGCUGCAAUUGAGAUUUUGCAGCAGUUUGAUUGGGAAGUUCCGGAUUGGGUUAUUGUUCCUGGAGGAAACCUUGGGAAUAUUUAUGCUUUCUACAAGGGUUUUCAUAUGUGCAAAGAAUUAGGACUUGUUGAUCGCAUUCCACGACUUGUUUGUGCUCAAGCUGCGAAUGCGAAUCCACUUUACCUCCAUUUCAAGUCUGGAUUUGCUGACUUCAAAUCUGUAAAGGCUAAUACCACUUUUGCGUCUGCAAUACAGAUUGGUGAUCCGGUUUCAAUAGAUAGAGCUGUUUUUGCUCUUCAAAACUCAAAUGGUAUUGUUGAGGAGGCGACUGAGGAGGAGCUUAUGGAUGCAAUGACUCAAGCAGAUCUCAGUGGGAUGUUUACUUGCCCUCAUACAGGUGUUGCUUUGUCAGCAUUGAUCAAGCUUAGAAAUAGUGGGGUCAUUGGGCCUAAUGAUCGCACAGUGGUAGUAAGCACAGCUCAUGGGUUAAAAUUCACUCAGUCCAAGAUAGAUUAUCACUCUAAGAGUAUACCAGACAUGUCUUGCCGGUUUGCGAACCCACCUGUGCAAGUAAAGGCAGACUUUGGAUCGGUUAUGGAUGUCUUAAAGAAGUAUUUGAGUAGGGAUCAGAAGCAUUAGUCAUCUUGCAGCACUAGUAUGUACUCUUCGAUGAGGUUUUGUUCUAGCCUUUUCACUUCAAGUUAUUUCUUUAAAUUUUCCUUUUGAAGAAGUUGAACCAUUUAAUCUUUAGAGUUUAUAGAGUAAAAAUCUUGUAAUACUAUCAGAUUUGCCUGUAUUGCUGGAAUUUGAAGAAACUUUUGUGGUUCACACUUUUUUCCACGUGCAUGAGUACUGAUUGCUUGAAAGUAAAGAUUGAUCAUUGUCAUAUGCUUAUUUAUUAUAUUUGAGUAAUUCUCUUGUUUUUCUUGCAUUUCGUUUCACCAUAUGAUAGAUGUGGCAGUAUCCGGUUUAUGUUCUUUGUUAUAGUUAUCUAGUCAAUCCAAGGGAGGUCAGGGAGUGGCACUUGCUGAAGGUGUCCUUUUCAGGGAGUGGCACAUUCUUCAUUUCCACUAGUGUUCAUCUGCUUUAUACUUUAUUGGGGGAAUAGCACUUGCAAAUUAUUUUUGUUCACAGUGAUUAUUAGAAUACGAUUUAUAAGACAGGUUGGGUGUUAGUUGUCUAGUCGAUGUAUGAAAUCCCAUUUCUAGACUGCAUAAGGUGUCCUAGUAUUUAUAAUUAAUGAAAUAUGCUGUGUAUCAGUGUAUGACACUGAGGCAAGCGCUCCCGAUCCUGGCUGUUAGGGAUACGUGCAUCCUAUCUAAAAUUUAAUAUCAGUUAAAUAACUCCUGCAAGUUGCAAAUCAUUCUUCUUUUCUACAUCUCAAGCACCACAAACUGAAUAAAGGAGUUUGCUAGACAGAGUGAACAAUGUUGGUAUUUAGGUAGCUAGUAUUCCAGGUUUAAAGUUAGUUUUACAUAGUCUUAUACUCUUACACUAUCCUUGAGAGUGAACAGUGCUGGUAUAUUGGUAGUCAGUACACCUAGUUUAAAGUUAGUGUUUAGGGUGAAUAAUGUUGGUAUGUACCUAGCCAGUAUUCCUAGUUUAAAGUUAAGUGUUGCAUCUCAUU
rnacentral:lncRNA from 1 species